UUUGUUCUUCGUGCGAGGUUCCAAGUUACUUUUUUUUUUUUUUUUUUUUUUUUCUAUUUGCUAAAGAAUUCUUGGGUCUCCUUUUGCUUGCCGAAGGGUGCUUGCCAAAUGGGUGGGUGCAGCUAAAUCAUGCCAAUCUGGUGAAAUUUUAGUAGGUUUCGAAGAAGAAACAGCUACGAACCUUUUUUGGAGAACUUCUUAUUAAGAGGGACAAUAGUAUAUUAAACUCACGCACACUACACGGAUAAUAGGACUUGAACCCAUGAUCUUUCUUUGGUGAAGUAAUUGCUCCAAACCACUAUAUUAGUGGUCCUUUGCAAACAGCUACAAACUUUAGUACAAAAAAUUGUUGAAAUAACACUUAGCACAAAAAAUGAUAUACAACGCGAUUGGAAUUACUGCUGUCAUUGAUUGAUUGAGUGCAACUUAAUUCUCUUUGUUUACCCAAAAAAAGAAAUAAAAAAGGCAUUUCAGUACAUAUAUAUAUGUCAUUAUAUUGAAAUGUUGACAUACCUCUCACGACAUUCUAUUUAAAUCCCAAAUGGCUUUCACUUUCAUGCAUGUCAUUUCAAAAAGGUCCUCCAUAUCAAUCCAUUUCAAAGAGAUUUCUUGGAGAAAAGUAAGAUAUUGCUACAAGAAAAUUCCGUGGGGCAGAAAGCUAGUGGGAGGUCUAGGUCUCAUUCAAGCACCUUAUGACUAAAGUCAAUACAAACAAGUAUACCCAAGAUGCCAUUGUUCUUGGAUCCAAAACCCGGGGAAAGGUUUUUAUUUUUGAAUUCUUUUUUAAAUAUAUAUUAAAUUAUAAUAAGAUGGGUUUAAAUUAAUUAAUUUCUUCAAAUUGAGUAGGUGCAUGUGUGGUUUUGCAACAUGGGUUGUCAACCUAAUUUGGAAGGGAUAAAAUAAAAAUAUACUACAAGUAACGGUCGAGAGAUGAAGCAACCAAAAGAAUAUUUACUGGUCCAUGAAGAGACAAUUCAUCGCAGAUGAACAAGGCUUGGUCUUCCAAAAUGUGCCUCAAAAGUCACGGCUUCAACCCCUUUUUACUUGCAGCCUUGUUUUGUGCUGCUGACAGAAGACACACAGGCUUUCGAGUUAAUUAUGGAAACAACAACAAAACUUAACUUGCACCAAUUUGCUCUCUCUCUCUCUCUCUAGUCUCUACUGCUUUCUCAGAAGUUGCAAAUAGGGCUCGGGAGGGAGGAAAACAGCUAGUUGAGAUGAGAGAGAAGACCAAAGCAAAAUUAGCUUUUUUUGCAGCAGAAUUGCACUUGUUGAGGGACCACAAUAAUUCAACAAUGGCCCCCAACACACACACACACACACACACACACACACACACAUAAAACCACAUCAUGGCCUUCUUGGGCUCACUCUACUCUACCACCCUAGAGCUGAUCAAAAUGCAUGCCAACCCGCCUGCCUAUGAUUGCCCUAAUACACCAUAACAAACCCUAGUGCUCUCUUUGAUUGUGCCAUGGCUUGGCUUACUAGGGAAAUCUAGCCAUUUCUGGUGCUUAACUAUAUUGCUCUAUGGGUCUCUAGACAUAAAUAUAUAUCUUAUGUGCAAAGAGAAAAUUAAGGGCCAAAUAAAACUCAAUGCCAAACAUUACAAGAACCCUAAUAAUAUGGGUCUGGGUUUUUCUUGCCCAUUUAUGUACUGACAAAAGUAGCUACGCAAGUGUGUGUAUAUAUAUAUAUACACACACAUAGAGAGAGAGAGAGAGAGAGAGAGAGAGAGAGAGAGAGAGAGAGAGCUAUUAGCUAGCUGGUCUGGUGGCAAACACAAGUCUGAGAUAUUCUAGACCGUGAUUAUGUGAUAUACAGUAAUAAAGCUGUUGGGUUACAGGCUGUUGAAAGCUUUCCUGCUAUAGGAGAGAGCUAGCAAUGUUUUAGUGGGAGAAAUACUUCCCUACCCCGGUUGUAUUAAUUGUCCCAUUCUUCCUAUCGCUUUCCUCCUUAGAUGUUGUACGCUCUCUCAUAAUUGUAUUGAGAAAAUGUGCUAUAAUAGAGUUGAGAAUAAUGCAAAUGUUGUAGUUGUGAUAACAUUAUUUGAUGUGACUCUAUCUCAUUUGCAUAAUAAUAAUAUUACAUAUACAAAACAAUAUGAUUAUAUUAGAACAUACCACCUUGAACGUCAAAUUCAUUUUGGGGCAUAUAAAGAUAAAGUGAAUUAAUUAGGCAAAAAUGGAGGAAUUUAAAAAGGAAGUAGUUGAAUGUACGUAGGUCAAGUAUUGGAGAAAUUAUAGGUGCAAAUUGGUUUCCCUAAUACAAGACAAACUUUCCAUUGUAUUUGGAAGAUAGUAAAGGAAAGUCGCUUGUCAGCGUCUAUAGAAAAACUGUGGUCUAAAGCGUGUACAAAUACAGCUAGACCGCAGUCGGGCAACAAUUUCCAUGCAUUUGCAAACUAUAUAUAGUUUGAAUAUCGUUACAUUUAAUCGGUGCAACUUAGGUCAACUCAACCAAAAUCUGAGCUUUUGUUUCUCAACUACACAUUUAGAUUAGAACUACUUCCACUUGAUCAAUGUCCUGAUUGACAAUAACCUACCCAUUUACAUGACUACAGAUUGUAUAUUUGUACGUCUUUUGACGGAAAACGUAGCAUUUUUAUGUAUCCAUAUGAAUGGUAUUUUGUACGAGGAUGAUAUUACCACUCCACUCUACGUAAUACUUGCAGCAUACAUAUAUGUUAAUUAGAAUGCAAUACCUGUUUUACCAUGAUAAACACUAUGAUUAAAGGCGGUGAUUGAUAUUUUUCAUGGCAAAUCGGCUCCUGAGAUUUUUGACAAGAUACUUUUAAAUAGGAAAGAAACAGUCGAUGAAGAAAAUGGAUGGAUACAAACGUUGAAAAUUCAAUUCCCGACAGGAACUUGCCCGGUUGUCCAGGGAAGGAAUAUUUAUUCUCGAUCUUGUGCUGCUCAAGAAAACAUGAUAUUUUGAGUGGAAGUUUUUUUCUUUGGAGCCAAAAAACAUGGGCGUCAUUCUCAUCAUUAUUUCUGGUAAAAGUAAUAUCAAUUAUUUUUGCAUUGGGAAUGCCUGGCUUUCCCUAUUUUAUAUUAUAUACUAAUGAUAUAUUUUUUUUUUUCACCAAACAUAAUAAUUUGGUUUGGGGUAGUUGGCAAAUGCAAUUUAAGUAUUUUCCUACGGAAUCCCAAGAGCAAAUUUUUUUUAAUUUUCUCUUGGCCAGUCAGUAAUUUUUUUUGUUUAUUUAAAGAAGAAAAAAGAUAUAUUCCUAGGGAAAGAAGCCACAAAAAAACAGCUGCAUCACAUGGCGCCACUGUAGUAACACAAUUGCUUUAUAUUCCCAGCCGUAAACAUGUCGGAAGAAAAGGCCUUCUGUAAUUUACCAGAAAACGUGAUGUGAUAUAUUUCUAGUUUCCUGUAAAAGAAGUGCACAUAAAAUGAUAUGGUAUAUCACUCACAGACCUGGUUAAUUUCUACAGAAACAUCUCAAUCAGUUCUCAUUCCCAUGCAUUGACAUGGAUUAGACCAUAGAAAUCUCCCUUUGAAUCUAAAACUGGCUCUUUCAAUCUUCCUAUAUGUCAACAUGAUGGAGACUGGAUUUGUAACAAGAAUGUACCAUAUUCAUUUAGAAUCAUCACUUAAGAAACGUUCAGUACAUGGAAAGGAAUUCGCAUGAAAUCAUUUUCCGUAUAUCUUCUAAGGGAUGGGAAAUGAACCAUUUUUCAUGUUUAGCAAUAUAGAGAAAGUAACUAGAAAAUAUCAUUUUAUUUUCUUUCUCGUAUUUGAUUUGUGCAGAGAUUGAAAAUAAACUUUGUUUAAACUACCCUUCACUCAUCCUAUAUCUUGAUAUAAUGGACAUUGAAUUUGUAACAAGGAUUACCCUAUUCAUUUAAAAUGAUCACUUAUUGACCAUUGUGAGGGAAAAAAAUUACACUAAUAACAAGGAGCAAAUCAACUGAUGAAUAACUAAGGGAGGACUUAACGGGAGAGUGACAGAUAGAGAAGCUGGCAUCAUUUCAUGUGGUAAAUUUUACAUAAAUAAAGUUUCACACUAGUUUUACCUACAUCCAUUCCUUUCUUUCUAGUCUUAAUGUGCAGUUUUUGUUUUUUUGUUUUUCUGAUGUGACAAAUUUAAGUGUUCAAUUAUUUUGACAGGACAUGUCAUACACAUAUUACUCCUCCUUAAAAAAUUCUAUCAAGGUAAAAAAGAAAGCUUGAUUUCUAUAUUCACCCUCUCUGGACUUCAAAAUAAUUUCAAGUGCAAUUAUUUUAUCUACUGUAAAGCAGUACCUGUCGUCCUAGGUUAUAAAUUUUUUCAUUGAAUAUCUACAAUCUUACUAACCAAUUUUUACAUUCCUGCAAAUCCUUAUAUGAGGCUAAUUAGGUCUAGCCUAGUGGAAAAGAGCCUUGAUUUGCACAUAAGAGAUUUCAAGUUCGAACUCCUAUGACAUCUUGAUUAUGUGUGUGUGAAAAAACUUCUCCCUGUAGUUUAGACUAUCACCGAUUCAUACACAAAUAAUUUGGCUACUUCAAAGAUUGGAACAACCUGCUACAUUAACAAAACCCAAACUACAGAGACUGACACACACACACACACACAUAGAAAGAGAGAGAUGUAGCUACAACAUUCUUGUCAGAAAUAGUGUAAAAUUGUGAUGUGUUUAAAUCUUCUACUGCAAAUAUCACAUAUGUUAGAAAUGGAUCAUAUAUAGUUGACAGCCCGCUAGCUAGAUAUAUCAUAUAAGUUUCUACUCACCAAUGAGCAUGAAAGUUCAUACUCACCAAUGCCCAUUGAAUCAAAGUCAAAUGACUGGUAAGCAAUAGAAGGUAUUCCCUAGUAAGAUUUGGCUCAAGUUUACUUGUAAUGCAAUACAAGGUAUUCCCUAGUAAGAUUUGAUUAUCAUUCCUCUAACCCAUAUUUAGUAGGAGAUCUCUCCAUUAUCUUCAACAAUAAGGUUUUGUAUAAAACCAUGUACAUGUUUCAAAAUUGAUUACCAAUUCAUCGUAUUCAUAUUAAGGUUUAAGAUUUAGAGCAUCUUCAAGUGAGUUUCCAAAUUUUAGGCAAAUUUUAGCUAAAAUAGCUAGAAAGUCAUUGUAGCAAAUUACUUAAAAGUAGUUUCCUUCCUCAAUGUUCUCUACUUUGGUUAAUCUCUAAUAUUUUAUUAUUUUUCUCUCAUCCUUUCUAAAAAAUUCAUUAAAAAGUCAAAGAGUAAGAGGUGAGAGAGGGUUGUGUGCCUAGGGAGAGAGAAGAGAAAGAAAUGGAGAACCCUCAAUUUCUCUGUCCUCCUCUCCAAACGUAGAGAGCCACCAAACUCAAAUAGGGGGUUCUCCAAAAUAGAGAGCCAUAUAGCAAGUCUGUUGGAGCUACGUUUGGCCCUCAUUCUAGAGAGUAUAACGACUAUGUUGGAGAUGCUCGUAGAGUUUAGGGAUGUGUUUGUGCAUUCAGUGACUUUAAAUAGGCUUUACAGAGAUUUGAUUGAUGAUUAGUAGAUGACUCCUUUUCAAGUUUUUAUUGUUAAUUCUUUCUUCAUUUAAAAUUCUUGCAACACUCGAAAGCCUCAUAUAUUAUUAUUAUCUAAUUAAUUAAUCAAUCUCAGAAUGUUUCCCUCUUUAAUUUAUAUAUUAAUUUAUAUUUUGGCACAAAAGAAGAUUACCUAAGCAAGGCUGAAAUUAAAAGGUUUAAAAGGGACUUGUAAUGGGAAGGGAGAAAUAGUAACUGCAGAGACCAUUGAUUAUGAAAAAUGAGAGGACAUGCUAUCAGUCAGAAUAGUUUGUAAACUAAGGAAAGCCUUUCAGUUGUCUGCUUUGUUUACAAUUCCUAAAUUUUCAUACAGUAAGUAACAAUAUUAUUUAAGUUCAUGUGCAUAUAUAUAUAUAUAUAUAUAUAUAUUCCAUAAAAUGUGAAGCAUUUUCUGUAAUUAUAUAUACCUUCCUGCAGAAGCAUUAAACCACUGCAGAUGGUAAGCAAAUUUUCCCAUUUCAAACAUAAAGGUCACAUCUAUGCAUUUUAAGAUUAGGGUCAAACGAAGUAAAUAUUAAAUUAGAGAGAGAGAGAGAGAGAGAGAGAGAGAGAGAGAGAGAGAGANNNNNNNNNNNNNNNNNNNNNNNNNNNNNNNNNNNNNNNNNNNNNNNNNNNNNNNNNNNNNNNNNNNNNNNNNNNNNNNNNNNNNNNNNNNNNNNNNNNNNNNNNNNNNNNNNNNNNNNNNNNNNNNNNNNNNNNNNNNNNNNNNNNNNNNNNNNNNNNNNNNNNNNNNNNNNNNNNNNNNNNNAAAAUACCCGCCAGACACAACAAACUCAGAUAUACAAACAAAAAAAGAAGAAGAAAUCAAGUAAACACUAACAUUUUUGAAUUUGAACAAGAAAUUAAUUAAGACGGAAGAAUAAUAAUGAUCAUGUUUAAAUUAACUAAUUAACAAGCAUUGGAAACUGUCAACAAAACAAACUCGUUCGUUGUUGCGCAUCAUUUUCCUCUAAGCUGGUUCUCGUUUCUUUCUACUCUCUCUCUCUCUCUCUCUCUCUCUCUCUCUCUCUCUCUCUCUCUCUCUCUCUCUCUCUCUCUCUCUCUCUCUCUCUCUAGCUCUCCUAGCUAAGCUAGUUCAAAUGGGAGGGGGUGUCAAUUUUGCUACAAAGAUAUUAUCAAAUAUUUGAGAGUACACACUAACUAACUACGCCAAAGUCGACCGCAGUAGGCAGACAAGAAGAAGAAGAAGAAGAAGAGGGAUGAAGAAUGUGGUGAGAAACUUUUGUUUGAUGAUGAUCAUCAAGAUCUUGGUGGUAGGAAGAAUUGCGUACCAGCCAUGUAUGUAUUAAGUGGAGCUGGGUAUAGAGAAGAAGGAUCUAUAACUGUCGUGGAAGCCCCCGCCACGCCCUCGUCAUCACCGCCGCCAAUGGUGGCUGUGUUGGCGGCGGUGGUGGCGCCAGCAAUGAGAUUGAGCGGCUGGAUAUUAACUCCACCGCCACCAGAUGAAGUUUCAGCUGCAGCAGCCAUGUUCAUGUUGUAGUUAGAGGUUUCGGGGCCUUGGUCGUAGAGAAUUCCUUUAAACAAAUGGCCUCCUAUGUUCACAGCCGUCUGAUACGCGUACUGAUCAUCGUCGUCCUCGAUGGAGCUCACUCUUACGCAGCGAAACACCGCGGGCGAGCUCACUUCUGCCGGAAAAUUCCCCAACUCCAACCCUACAUAAAUACAUACACAAAGUAAUAUUAGCUCAAAACCCGUCAUAUAAACUAUAUUAUAUUUUCUUCAUGGUAUAUACAAUAAUACAAAAGAAAAGAGAGUGGAAAUUAAGAAAUUGUUUAUCUUUUUUUUUUUUUAAAGAAAAGAAAAAGAAAGGCACACAAAAGCAAGGAAACGCACAUACAUGAACACAGAUAUCAACAAGCCAGAGGGAGAAGGAGGGAGAGAGGGAGAGAGAGAGAGAGAGAGAUGGACACAAGCACACAUAACAAAAGAGGGUAAGCUAAAGCUAGCUAUAGCUAUAGGCAAAGGCAAGAAAGAAAAAUAGUGUGUCUUUCUUCCCUGUCAAUGUUGAAACUCGUCAGGACGACUGGAUAACAGUAUUAUUGGAAAAGGAAAAGGGGAGAUAAUGAUCAAAAGAAAGAAAGAAAGAAAGGAAAAAGCUGACGACGUCUGAUAUGCUCUUCUACUAUGGAGGAGGAGAAGAAGAUUUUUACUACGGAGGUCGAUUUCCACUCCACACGCAAUCGAUAUGCUCUUCUACUUGUGUUUAUAUUUUUACUCGCUACCCUCCAAAACCCUUUGUUUCUUUUCUUUCUUUUCUCUCUUUUUCUUCAGAACUUCUGGCUAAUAUUCACUCCCAGACGAGGGUCAAAUUUUCAAGAAACUCUGAGUAAGCUGUUUUCUCAAACUAUAAAAAACAAAAACAAAAAACUGUACAUACAUAUAUACACAUAUAUAUUAUAUAUAUAUAUAUAUAAUAGUACCUGACGUGUUGCCGAGAAUGCGAAGGGAAGAAUUGGAGUUUGGAUUUUCUCUCAGCCUCUUGGAAUUCUCUCCCCGAAUCACUUGCAGCUGCUGCUGCUGCUGCUGUCGUUGUUGAUGAUGUUCUUGCUGCUGUUGUUGCUGCUGCUGCUGCAAAGCCAUGAGCUGUUGCUGCCGCUCGCGGCGCUUCGACGCCGGAACCCACGUGCUCUUCACGUGGGUCGGGCAGUCGAACCCUCGGCUCUUGCAGCAAGUCCGGCACCUCAUGUGAAUGCAAUCUUUUUUGGCUUGGUUUCCGCAGUCUUGACAGCUGGCGCUUCCUCCUCCGCUUCCACCUGCGCCUCCGCUGGAGGACGACCUCAUCAUCAUCAACGCGGCGGCCGACCGCGACGACGACGUGUCAUCCGAGCCCCUGCUGCUCGGCCCCACGCCUAGAGCGGCAGCGGAUGCGUAGAGAUCUUGAUGGUGAUGGGGGUGGUGGUGGAAGAGGCGUGGUGGCUGGGUUUGGAGCUGGAGGAGCUGCUCUUGUUGCUGCCAUAGCUCGAACCCUUUGUACGGCUGAGCUGCCACGUCCUCAUUCUUGUACCAGAACAACGUCUCCGGAGCAAUUUGAUGAUCAGGUGGGGGUGGGUUAUUGCUGUUAUGGUGGUCUUGAUCUUGGUUGUUGUUGUUGCCGCCUCUGCCUAACGAGAAAAAACCAGCCAUUGCUGCCCCAAUUGUGACCGAAAAUCCAUAUCAAAAUCAAGCUCCACUCUCAAUUCUGAACCCAAUUUCUCACCCAAUUCCCUGAUGGGUAUUUACUGUUGUGCUUAAAGUUUUAAUCUUUAUGUAAUCUGUGAAGUUUGUGUGAGUAUAUGAGAGUUUCGGGUGUGCUUCGUGUUUGUUGGGUUUGGAGAAAAUGGGUGAAAAUUUACAGAGAGAGAGACAGACGUUAGGCUCUGUUUGGCAGCGUUAAUCGCGCUUUUAAUUCCCUUCCCUUCUCUUCUUCACUGUGCUGUGCUGUGCUGUGUUCGUCUGUAAAUUUCAAAGCAUUUAAGUCUCUCUCUCUCUCUCUCUGCUACGCCGCCAUGCCUCUCUUUCUCUCUUUCUCUGUGUCUGCACUGCACAAGCUGCUCACACAAAUUUAAGUUUCUCUCUCUCUCUCUCCCUCUCUGAUUUGUUUGCAGGUGAUGAGCUUUUUAGCUCUGAGAGCAGUGCCUCUUGUUUCUCUCUUUCUCUCUCUCUCUCUCUCUCUCUCUCUCUCUCUCUGUGACUGUGUAACAUAACACCUUUCUCUUUUCGUUAGCUAUGGAUGUCAUAAUCUCAUCUCAAAUGGAAGAAAGAAUGAUCAAUCACUGUUAAAUUCGCAUGCUCAUCCAACGGUCAAUUCCAUCGAUACGUGUCGUCUCGCCAGCUUUUUGCUCCUUCGUCCUUUUUGCACCGGAAAACCCGCCCCUUUUCUUUAAGGGUCAUGCUAGGGAGACCAACUUUAGAUACCAACUUGUGUACCAACUCUCUAAUAGAGGUGGAGCCCACCAAUACAAUGGACNNNNNNNNNNNNNNNNNNNNNNNNNNNNNNNNNNNNNNNNNNNNNNNNNNNNNNNNNNNNNNNNNNNNNNNNNNNNNNNNNNNNNNNNNNNNNNNNNNNNAGGUAUUUAAAGUUGGUCUCCCCUAGCAUUUUCCUUUCUUUAAUGACAGACCCUUAUUUUUAAUUUAUUUAUUUCUGCUCCAAAUAUUAUUUUUUAAACACACUCCAAAACUCACUUGUAUUCACCAUUAAUAUUCCGCACGUAAAUAAUUAACACUUUUUUUUAUCCCACUUUUAUUCCACCUUUCCUUUUCACUUCACAUGACCAAAUUGUUUAUCCUUUUUUUUUUUUUUGGGGUGAAAAUUAUGGUGGUCAUUACACCAAGCUUUAGCUGUAAAGCAAAAUUCUCCUCCACUCUUUUACGGCCACUUGUCUGCAUAGGGCAAUUUAGUAAAUUCAAAUCUUAUUUAUCCAGUAUAUGCUACAUUACUAUUAUACAAUGAGAUGCUUUUUCUUUUGAGAAAGAAAUACGGAGAAGAUGGAUCGCGGAUAUAAAAAAGUUAAUGUACUAUAUUAGCCAACUAACUUAACUUACGUUUGUUACGUUGAUGUGCAUAUUACAGCCUGGUACAAAGUUUUAAUGUUUUUACCUUAUCAAUAGCAGCAUCCAGGUCAGCAAUACUUUAGAUUAUUUUUUACUAUUUGUUUAUUGAAGCAGAGAGAUUUGGGCAGUGAAAAAGAGGCGUAUUUUGUCGUAUUUCCAGAAUAUAAUUGAGGGGGAACACAGCGCCACCUCCUCGUACAUUUUUGUUUUGUUUCCCCUUUUAAUAAUUUAAUCUGUGUUUUAAUUUUCUCCCAAAAUUUAAUUAAACUAAUUUCCGCAUAUUCCAAACUUUAUUAAUGAAUAGUUAGUCACACUGUGGGACCAUAUGAUCUGCAGUUGACUAUUUGAAUCAAGGGGUAGUUUCGUCUUUUAAUGCAAUAAACAAACGGCAUUAAAGGUUAAUUAAACGGGCUCCGCCGCACCGUUGGACGACGCGCCGUUUCGGGCAUACGAUGCGGGAUUGGAAUUCGUACGCUUUACCAAUGGAGUAAACAUUUUCUUAGUAGUAAAGAAUUGAUGCAGCUUCAUAGUUACUCAAAUCAAAAUAGUAAAACGUUGUGGGUUUGGGUCGUUUUACGUCCCUACCAAUUACCAAAAGUUUGUCCACGUCAUGAGGGACCGAACAUUUUGUUGGGCCCAGAAGCUGACCUGGCAUGGCCCUAGUGGGCCAUGAGUCGGCCAAGUGCAAAGCUUCCUCGUACAAUAUUCUGUCUCCCCCCCCUCUCCUCUUCCCCCACCCCCCCACCCCCCCAAAAAAGUGUGUAUGUGUUUAUCUUUUAUAUUUUUCAUAAUACAUCUGGAAAUUUUUUAAUGAAAAAUGAAUUGGAGUUUUGAAUAAUUUCUAAUUUUCAUUUUUUAAGUUUGUGUCUACCCAUUUCGGUCGACGGCAGAAAUGGAUGUUUAUCGGCCUGUGGUUGGGAAGUGCACCACCCAGUCACAUCAAGCCACGUCAUAAGAACGUGAAUGGCAUCUUCGUCAGUUUGCGAAAAUAUUAAUAAUAAAAAAAUGGUAUCUUGAUUUAAUUUUUAAUUUAUUUGGUAAAUUAUUGGAUUUAGGGUGUCAAAUUGGACAUAGACUUCUCAUGGUUCCUGUUGAAAAUGUUGACGACAAACUGCUCUCUCACCUCUCACUCACUCAAUAAAAUCUUAACCAUCCAAAAAUAUAUGUAACUAGAUUUUGGCAUCACGAGUUGGAGAUGGCUGAAUGCUUUUUGUUGAUAGAAAACUGGACCACCCUCAGUUCUCAAAGUCAGAUAUUUAUGUGGGAGGCCAUCACUUCUUUUAUAUGUACUUGAUACUUCAACUCAACUAGGGUUUUUUUUUGUUGUUGUUCGAUUUUGCAAACUGAAUUUUCUGGAAGUUGGACCAAUUAAUUCGUCCAAUCACUCAUUCAUAUCAUUUUAAAAUCAUAUGUAUAGUACAAUGUCAUUUCUUUUUUUUUUUAGAAUCUUUCGUAUUGAGAGGGAUUUAUACACACAAUACGAAUAUUAUGACUCGAACCCGAAUCUUGUUUAGAGAGAAACUACUCCAAAAUACUACACUAAUUGAGCAUUUGAUAUACUAGUGAGUCCUACAGUGUCACGUUAAAUUAUUCUUUGUUUGGUACAAUGCAAUUAUUAACACAAUCAUUUUUUCAUAUAAACAACACUUUAUGAGAAAGAUCCGAACACAGAAAAUCGAAUGCAAAUACAACUUAAACUACAAACAACACAAUCCAUAAUCUCGAACUAUAUAAUAAAAGCACAACUAUUGUUGUCGUCCAAGUUGCCAGAAGAAACAGGAGUAACAAGAAUUUUAUAUAAAAUGGAACUCAUAGCAUAUGAGAUUGAGACUGAGGGAUUGGAAUUGAAAGAAAUGUGAAGGUAAAUUAAUAAGGGGUCAUUGUCAACUUUUGAAAUUACAGCUGGCUAACUACUACGACUUACUUUACCUGUUAGAAGGACCGAAUGCAGAAAAGUUUCUUACAUAUAAAAAUAUAUAUUAUAUAGAUCAUUACAUGGUUUUCCAAUCACUUGAGUUGUUUAUGUGAAUAAUAUAUAUCAUAAUGUACUUCUUGUUGCUACAACUUUGCAUGCUCAUGCUUAUUAUGUUUGAUGACAUACACCGAGCAACUCUCUUUUCUUUUUCUUUUUCUUUUUUUCUUUUUUUUUUUCAAAUAAAUAUUUAUCUGUAGAGUUAAUCAAAUAUUAAUAAUCAUAUCUCUCGCAUAAGUGGAAUUCAUUUAUAUAAACGAGUCCCGCAAGAAAAAAAUGUCAUCAAAUUAGAAUGCAUGUGAGGAGUAAAUACAAAAGCUUGGAAAUGGGUCUAGAUUCAUGAAUCUUGCAUGGGUUGUCAUUCGAAUUUAAGGUCAAAACACAAUCCUUUUAGACCUACUAAAUCCUAAUUAAUUAGUAGAAGGGGGUUUGUGAAAGCGAAGUAUGUGAUUCGAUAUUUAAUACAAAUUGGUUAAGAUCUAAUUUGUAUCUGACAUGUUAUUAACUUAUUGGAAGGAGCUGAGGAAGAGAAGGAAAACGAACAAAACAAAAGACAAAUACAAUAUCACUAUUUUUGUUUUUGUCUUAUGGAAAAUAAAAGAAAAUUAAAUCAUGUGAAGAAUGCCUAUGUAUUUAAUAUUUAAAAAGAGAAAGUACAAAUUAUUUUCAAAACAAACUUUAUUUUUUAAAACAAUUAAAAGUGUUUUCAGUUUGCGAUCAUUUUUCAUUCACUAAUUUUACAUAACCGCACAUAAAAUACACUCCAAUUAGCAAAAUUCGGUAUUUGAAACCUUCCGACUUGGACCUAUCCACCCGAUUAUUGUGUUCAACCAUGGAGCCAAUCCAAACCUUGGAACAUCCAUAUCCAAAUUCACAAAAAAAUAUCAUCAAAUUUCAAAAAGUUCACCGAAAAAUACUAAACAAAUUCCAUGUUAUGAUCUCAAAUUCACAAGUUGACUUCAAUAAAUUCCAUUUAUAAGUUUCACAUCAAACUAAAAACUGAAAUCAGUUAACAAACAAAUUUUCAAUAUUUAAAAACUAAAAAUUAAAAACUGAAAUUAUUAUCAAAGAAGCCAUUUAGUUUAAAAAAUUUAGUCCACAGAAAACUAGUUGUGUACAUAAUGAAGAUAUAGUUGAAGGUUUCUGUCUUGUGUGGCACGCGCAUUAAGUUACCCCAAUAAAAGGGUGGGUGAAAAAAAAAACGAAUAAAAAAAGGGAGGCUUUAUUUAUUAUUAGUUAUGGUUUUGUUGUGUUGUUGGUUUUGGGUUUUUUGGGUUUGUGUGGUGGGAAGGAAGGAAGAGAAGUGAAUAAUGAUGGAUGUGUGCGAGUCCCAAUAAUUGUGUGUACCUGCAGUGGUGUGUCUGUCUGUCUGUCAUUCUCGAGCCCUGUGUUUGUUCCCAUGGUUGACUACCACCUUAGCUACUUUAUGCUUCAUUUCCAUCCUUUUCCUUUUCCUUUGCUUGCUUCAUAUAUAACUUACAACACAAGAGAGAGAAACUUUUUCUUUCCUUCUCUACAAAAUCUACAGAGAAGAGAGAGAGAGAGAGAGAGAGAGAGAGAGAGAGAGAGAGGCUACUUACUGUGUCAACUGCAUCAUAGUAGAAGCCAACAAAACAAAACGCGUUUAUUUUGUUUAAUGCGUCAUCUGCGAAUAAAUAAAGUUGAGAGUAGAUUCGGAUUGAAAAUAAAUAGAUCACUAUCAUAAUAAUUGAUCUUUCUCGUAUUACUCCUAUUCCUACUAUUUGAAGUGAAAUAUUGAAAGAAGUAUUUAAAUAGAAGGAAGGGAAUUAAGGGUAACCCCCCAAAAAUACCACAAAUCCCAAGGUUAACUAACCCUCUCCUUCUUGGGUCACAAGCAAGAAACAUUGAAAAAAUUAUGCUAUUGAUUAUGGGGUUACAAAAAAAACUUCCCUUUUUGGGAAGCCCCAAUUAGUACCCUUUUCAUGUUGCAAUCCCAUUCUUUUUUCUUCUUUUUUUGGCACUCAAGAAUUGGGCAAAGUGAUUAUUCAAGUGGGUUCUUCUUACUUGACAUUUGAAGUAAGUUGUAAAUUAAUGUAUGUGGCAGGGGAAAUGGCUGAUAAAGCAGAGAGGAGGGUUUGAGGAGACUGAGGGGAGGGAGGUCGCUGUCAAGGCAAUAAAUUUGGGGUUUGAUGGGAACAGGCAUGUGAUACACAGGGAGUCAAAAAUAUGCUCAAAAGAUUUGGUUGCCUCCCUCGUCCUCAGUCUUGAGUCUUUCAUUCUCUCUCUCUCUCUCUCUCUCUCUCUCUCUCUCAAUUGUAAAGAUGCAAGCACACCAGAAAGCAGCAGCCCAAAUACAUACAUGCAUACAUUUUUAUUCCUUGGGGUUUGUUUCAGUCUUUCACUCAGAGCUGGUUGCGGUUGCUCAUGAACAGUAGAUGAUGUUGAUGAUUUUGUUGAUCAUGAGCUCAAUUUGGGCCCACCCUUUCUCAUCUUUGAAACCACUGUUGGAGUGGGACUGGAUUAGACACUUGGUCCCAUUUCUAAGUUGACCAACUGAGAUCUAAUUUUUAUUUAUUUAUGUAUAAACAAGAAAUUUGUAUAUUCCAUGAUUCACUUCAUUAGUUGUCAAAAAGAUUGUAAGAAUAAGAGGACCAAGUAUCAAUUCUUAAACUUCAAAUAUAACUCAAUACUUUAGAAUAUAGAAUUUUCGUAUCAAAUUACACCCGCACAUGUUAUUAUUAAUAUACUCAUAUUGUAACAUAUAUUUAUUAAUUAAAUAUAUAUUCUAGGUCUAUGAUAUAUGACAAAUAUCGUCCACCUUUAUUUUAACAGAUGAAUUAAUAACAUCUCGUGACUGACUCAAAACGAUUCCAUUUUGGUCCAUUUUCCUUCAUAACCACUCACCAGAUCCUCAGCAAUUAUUUUUUCUGCAUUCCCUGCAGGUUAGUUCCUAUACUCUUGUGUCUAUAUCUGAACCUCUUAGCUCACUGACCAGAAAAAGAAAAACCUUGGGGGUCAGGGGUGAGGUCAAUGUUGCUUACAGAGAAAAACUUGGUAGGUCAGUGUCUGUAAUUAUCAUGGCGGUUAAAAAGUUAGAUAUAAAUAUUGUUUGGUUAAAGUAUGAGAAAAAUGGUGUAGAAUUAAUUUCAUUAAAUGCUCAAUUAGUCAAUAUUAGCCAAAAUUGAGCCAAUUUGUUGGUACUUGCCUAACUAAAAGUGUUAUCAAGCCGAAAGGCAACCAAGGACCACUGGAUAUGGAGUUCAAAAUUUCUGCCUAAUUUACUUUAUGGCCUAUGGAUCCAUAGAAGCAGAUUAUUAGUCAGAAAUGCGUCAUGGCUGUAUAUAUUUGUUGUCAUGUCAAUUCAAUGAAAAUAUUCAACUUUAUAACUGCGUUCUUUCGUUGCUAUCAAACUUUUUAUAUAUAAAUGUUUUGUUAUACUUCUUUUAACAUUAUCGGGAGAUAUCGAUGAGGUUUAGCCAGAUGAAAAAUAACUCUUAUUUGCACAAUAAUGGUUUUAGAUUCGAAUUCACAUGACACAUUGGUAAUGUGUAUGUGUAAACUAACUCAUAAUGAAAGUUUGCCGUUAACCAUCCACCUCAUAGUAAACAUAAAAAUACUCAUUUACUGUGAUAUUAAAAAUAUAAAAUUAAACCAUUAUGUGGGUUAUUCUAGUAGAGUCGUCAAUUCUGUCGUUUAAGAAUAUCUCAUAGCUUCAAUGUGAUUAUAGCUCGAGUGAUAAAAUGUAUUUACUUAUGUAUUUGAGAAGUGUUUUGAUUCAUUUAGGGCUAAUCUAUACAUGAGUGUGAACAAAAUAAAUAGCAUCUUACGAAACACGUCUUUGAAUUAAUUUAACUAUUGGAUUUGUCAAAAAGAAAUUUGGAUUUUCCCUUGAUUGUUAUUGUUAACUAAAAUGACCAAAACAUAAUUCCCUUUAAGCUUAGUUAAACAAGUAUUUGCCUAAUAAUAACAAAGCAAAAUGUAAAUAAUAAAAGAGUAGUCCAAAAUGUGUCUAUUAUUUAGCUGAGCUAUUUUCAGAGGUCCAAACCCUAAUAUUAAAUACUAUAUAUCUAAGGAACUAGACACUAGCUAGGCUUAACUCCAAUUCACAAAUACAGUAUAGAAAGAUAAUUUUGGAUAUUGUUCAAUUUCAACCACACAAUUCACAAUUAUAUGGGGAAAUAAUUUUAUCAGUCCUUUUCAUUUUGACCUAAGUUCCUAAUAGUAACCUCAGUAAACUUAGCCAUAAGCCCGCAAGUUUAUUUUACAAGUACAUAUGGUACUUAAACUUAAUUUCACUAUUAUAUCGAUCCCCACACUAUAACUUAAGCCAACUUAAUUAUGACUUAGGGCCAUUGACUUGCCGAUCUUCACGAAUAUGUCUGAUUUUUAUUUAUUUUUAAUAUAAGAUAUUUUUUAUUGAGAUGAGCGAUAACAUAUUGAAGUCACAUAUACUACACGGAUACAGAGACUUGAACUCAAAACCUUUAAUGUGGGGGAAUGUUCACCCCAAAUCACUACACUAAUUUGUCCCUUACUCUCUAGCUUUUAGAUACGAAGAUCAAAAGCAUACAUUAAACCUUUUGUUUUUCUUCUUGUGGCUAAUAAUUUCUGUGAAGACCAACUGUUGAGUCAAUGAGGGGUCCUGGUGGAUCGUUGAUGGUUUGGGUGAAUUUGGCUUAUCUUCUAGUACAAACAAUAUCAUAUGCAACUUUUUCAAAAUUUCACCCAACUUUAACGGUUUUUACAGACAUAUAGAAACCUUGGAAAUUAUGAUCACCUUAUUUCUUAAUCAUAAUUAGAUAACAAAUUAACAGAAAACAAUAAUUAAUAAGAUUUAUUGUUGGAUCAUCAUAAAGAAAGAAGAAAAACUUUGAACAAGCAUACUUGAAUGGGGAUCCAAGGAUUAAAGACAGUCCAAGAUUAGGUAGCCAAUCUAAAUCAUAUUUGGAACAGAAAAAGUGACAUCUCAAAGUCAUCAAAACAGUUCCCGGAGCUCAAGGUUUAACAACAUUUCUGAAACACAAGAACAAAGGAACUCAAAUCUUAUCUAUAUAUUAUACCCCGCUGGUACUAUAUUAUGCCCUAUGUCUCAGCCCCAUCAUUGGACAUCAAUUAAACGUGGCUAUAUAUAUAUAUUUAAACGUACCUGUUAGCAGUCUUUAAGGGGAAAAAGUUACAGUAAAAAUAUACAGUAAAAAAAAUUAUGAGUGAAUGGAUAGAGUGAAAGCAUCAAACAAACCUUUAGGAAAGAGAUAAAGGGGAUUGAAAUGAUGUAAAGAAAUAUGGGUUGCCUCCUCCGAGCUGAAGCUCUCAUGCAAGCAAAUAUGGAGACACACAGUGACACGCCUGCCCACGCAGAAAGAAAGAAAGAGAGAAUCUAUUGGAUGUCAUCAAGUUGAUUAAUACACUUCUAAAGUUGAUACUUAAAGAUUUUAGAUGAUGAUAAUCUUCACUUUGUGUUUGUGUACGGUCAUGCCACUUGAUCUUGUCUCAAGAAUUUCAGACCUCCAAUUGUAAAGUUUUUAUUACAUCCCUUCCCCCCUUAUUGUGUAAAUAGUAUGUGCAUAUCAUAUUUAUUUUGACAAAGGGAGGGGAAUUGAACUUGGUCAGGUGCAAAGAGGCGAACGCACUGUCUUCAUCAAUCGGCCAUUUGCACCGACAAUCAUUAAUGUAUUCAUAUAAACUUUGAUUCCUUUAAUAUUACUGUUACGUAAAAAACUAAACAAAAACUAAUUUUCAAAAUGGGUGAAUGAUGCUGGUAACAUGGUGGAAUUGUGCCUUUGGAAUUUUCAUGAUUUUGAAGUUGCCUCGAUUGGACAAGCAGAGCAUAAAUACCAUCCAAUAUAUCCCUGCUGAGUGCAUGGUGAAAGUGAUGCACCGCCCAAAAUAGUAAUAUGGCAACAUCAAACUUUUGCCAUGAACCCUUUUGAUUUUAUUGUAUUUUUAUAUUUUUUUGGCACAACACCUUUUAAUUAUUAUAUAAUAUAUUCACACACUAUAUAUGAAACCCUUUUUUUCUUCUCGCAAAUAGUAGUAAUUUAUAUUUCUUUAUGCAAAUCACUCAAUGGAUGGUAUAAAUUCUACUGCCCUUUAAUUUGCCUUUGAUUUGGCAAAGCAAGUGGAAGUACUCUUUGAACACAAUAUAAACCUCUCGUUCUACUGGUACUCGAUGUUUUGAAUUCUAUUAGGGCUUUGACCACCAAAGAGACGAACACAAAUCCUGAUCAAAUUCAAACUCAGAAUAGUGUUUCUUGUGAUGUCGUAAUCGAAGUCAAAGAGUUACCCAAUACCCAUCAAGUAAUUAAAUUUUUGUUUAUUUGAUCGAUGGUGGGGAAGGAAUAUACAACUUUUAUAAUUCUCUCGUGGAAAGAAAGACAAUUCGUUUGAUGAUUCUUGCAAUAAGUUAUGUCUGUAAAUGAAUCCAAAGCCUUUCUGUAUUUGUUCAAUAUGAUAUGAGACUCAAUGUUAGGUCUUGUUUUGAGGUUCACCAAACCUAGCUCAAGUCACAUAAUUAUAAACUUGUUGAUUUGUGACUCGAUCUAGAUUUGAUGGAGCUUCUUAUUGUGAGCCAACUUAUCCGUGCUACAUUCAUACAUGUAUUAUGUUAUUAGACUGUUAAUAAAAUUAUAUAUUCAAACAAACUUAUCGAAGUAUGGCCACAUAAAAUGUGGAGUAACAGAGUAUUUCUCUAGUAACAAUUUGAAAAUAAACCACCCCAAAUGGCAUUAAACUCAAUCAUAGUGGAGGUGGUGAGCAAUGGUUUUUUCUUAAAAGACCUUUCUUAUUGAGAGGGACGAUAUUAUACUAAACUCACACACUACACGGAUGCUAGGAUUCGAACUCAUGACAUUUCCGGAGAGAGCAAUUGCUCCAGAUCACUACACUAGUGGAUUCUUUGCGGUGAAACCAAAUUAUUAAAUGGGUGCAUGAGAGAUCAUGGUAAGAGCAUCCACAGUUGGGGGGAGGGGGGGGGGGUGUAUUUUCGGGGGUGUAAAGCCACUUUUACAUCCCCUUUACAGUGUGUAAAUAAGUUUUUUGCUCCAAUCGAAAAUGAUGUAAAUCUAAAGAUGUAAAUACUUUUUUCUAUUUUUCCUCUCCUUUUCUCAGCUGGGUCUUACUCGCAAGAGAUGUAAAAAAAGAUGUACAAUUGCAUCUAAAUUUACAUCUCAUGGUGGUUAUGUAAUUAUACAUUCAUUUACACCCCCCAUUGCUGGUGAUUCCGAUCACAACAGGUGUAUAUUUAACAUACACCUCAUUAUACAGUCCCCAACUGUAAAUGCUCUAAUAAACUAGCUAGGUGAGGCCCCCUUGAGAUAGAAUAGAGGCGCUGUCACCUGAAACGCAUGCAUGUAAUUGAGUGAUCAUAUGCAAAUGCAAGUCUAUAUAUAGCUUAUGGAUUGAAAUUUGGCGCUAUUCUAUAUAUAUGGUUUCUUUUGAGUUUAUUAUUGGGCAUGGUCUUUACCUUACCCUAAGGAAGAUCACGAGACUAGCUAAUAUAUAUCAUUUUCAGUGGACUGGCCUGCACAUCUUCCCUAUCCCUCUAGAUAUAUAGACUGAAGGAGAGUACUUGGUUUUCAUAGAAAGCAUGCAUGUGUCUUUAAUUAAGGGGGCAAAAGGUGUGUUUUAUAUCAAUGGGAGUCGGGACCUGAAACAUAUAUACAUGCCUAUACCUUGACCACUCAUUUUGAACCUGCUAUCUUUUGCUCGCAUUUCUUUUUUGGUUAUUUUGUGUUUAAUUAACAUGGAAAAUGUUAAUUAAUCAAACAUCUUAUCCUCAUUUAAGUAAACAUCAUAGAAAGAAGGUUUAUAACUUCGGUGAUAGAAUACUUCACCCUUCCCCUUUUUGGGCUAUAGACUUUGAUCAAGCUCUAAAUAUCAAGCACAUACAAGAAUUCUGUAGUGAGAGUCUUAAUAUGGCCCUUAGGUGAGGUUCUAUCUCUUAAUUAUUGGAUUAGACUAACCAAUUUGAUCUAACAGCUAACAGAUUUGAUCCAACAAUUAAAAAAUAGGACCUUAACUAAGUGCCAUAUUUUAAGCCCUCACUAUCAAAUGACUCCAAGCACAUAAGCCAAAUUUUCGUACUUGGGUCUCAAUGAUGGGGAUCUUUAAAGUGCCCUACGAGGCUGCUCAAGGCCCAGUUUUUGUUUUCUCAGUGUGGUUUGGGCCUCACUACAAGUUUUUUUUUUUUUUUUUGGUUCUCUCCACUUUCACUGCUUGCAUGGAACCCAACACUUCAAUUUACAUGGAAGUGUGCUCAAGCAAUCUUACUCUCACACACACAUAUACAUAUAUUAUGCAUGCAAUAUUUGCUUAGUUUGCAUGGAAAAAAGAAAAUAUUUGUUGUAUAACAAAUUCCCUUUUCCGACUCCUUUGGAUCUUGAGACAUUCCAACUUAGAAUUUGUCUCUGUCUCUCUCAAUUGCGAUGUUCACUUUCAUCUUCCUCCACAAACACAGAUCCCUCUAUACAAACUAAUCACACUAACUAGAUCCUUUUCUUUUUCUUCCCACAAAAAUACAACUCAAAUCCUCAUCUCUCUCUGUCUCUCUCUCACACACACUGAUACAGAGAGCACAAUGAGGUCACGCAGUAACAAGCGGUCGUCGUCAUCAUCAAAUUCUUACGCCUCAACUGUUACGAUUACGGUGUUCAUAGCAGUAUGUGUUUUUGCUGUAUGGAUGCUCAACUACUCUAAUACAGGAGUUCCACCACAAACCACCAACAGAAGUACUCGAAUCGCCACGACAGCCUCCACAGAUGACACAACCAACACCGCAUUGAACAUGGCUUCCUCCGAAGAUGAUCAGGCCCAAGUGAUCACCAAAAGCACCAGCAAUGACAAUAGUAAUAACAAUAGUGAAAACCCUAAGGCCUUUGAAGACAACCCCGGUGAUCUCCCAGACGACGCCAUCAAAUCUGAUGAUCUACCCAACAACUCAUCAAAGGGCAGUAGCACACAAGAUCAAAAUAGUAGUGGAGGUGGUGAUAAUAAACAAGAUCAAGUUAGCGAAGAGUUGCAGGAUCAAAAGGAGAAAGAAAUUAGCCAGAGCCAAUUGUCUGAGGACCAGACCAGCUCAGUGGCUGAACAUAGCCAACAACAAGCUGACCAUGAUGAACAGAGCGUCAGCAGCCAGAAGGGUUCUGAUGAUCAAUCCGAUCAGAACAGCCGGAAGGGUUCUGAAGAUCAAUCUGAUCAGAACAACCAGAAAAUGUUUACAAGCAAUGGAGAAGGCAGUAGUUCUGGAAAUGAUCAAAUGAUUAAUUCGGAGAGCAAGUCUCAAGAUCAGCAAGAAACAAAUAAUAACAAUUCUGAAAGCAGAGAAAGAAGUUCUCAAGAUUUUCAGAAUGACAAAAAAUCAGAUACUGCAGAUCAGCAACAAGGUACAGCACAACAAGGUCAGCAACAACAAGAGUCCCAAAAGCAAUCAUCAGAUAAACAGCAAUCUCAAAAUGAGACUUCAGAGAGUGAUCAACAACAGCAAGCAAAAGAACAACAGAAACAACAGCAAAAGCAAGAGCAACAAAAUUCAGAAUCCAACAUGACCAAAAUCGGUGAAGUGCAAUUUUCAGACGUGACGAACCAUGCAAUGACGACGACCCUGCUAGUACAAAACAAGGCAUCUGAUGGUCAGAAUUUUUCUCAAACACCUUCUGAUCAAAAUAAACAGAGCCCAGAAAAAACCCAACAAGACACUGACUCUCAGCAAAAGCAGGCCGGCAAUGCAGCUGAUCAAAGCAAGCAGGGAGCUACUGAGUCCAACUCGGGCGAUUCGUUACUGGGCGGGGACAACUCAGGCAUUCCCAAGGAGUCGAAGGAGUCUAAGAAGUCGUGGUCCACGCAAGCAGACCAGUCGGAGAACCAGAAGGAGAGGCGCAAGGACGAAACCGACGGUCAGGAUGGCAUCUACGGUUACACGUGGCAGAAUUGCAACGUCACUGCGGGUCCCGAUUAUAUACCUUGUUUGGAUAACGAGAAAGCUUUGAAACAAUUGCGUACGACCAAACACUUCGAGCACCGCGAGAGGCAUUGCCCUCAGGAGGGGCCCACUUGCCUGGUCCCACUCCCCGAAGGCUACAAGAGAUCUAUCGAGUGGCCGGAAAGCAGAGACAAGGUGCGUAUGCCGUUGAUUGAAAUUAAUCCAACGGUUGGAUGAGUGGGUAUGUAACUUUUUUAUUGUGGUCUGGCAGAUAUGGUAUCAUAAUGUACCGCACACAUUGCUGGCGGAGGUAAAGGGCCACCAGAACUGGGUUAAGGUGUCCGGUGAAUUGUUGACUUUUCCUGGUGGUGGGACCCAGUUCAUACAUGGCGCCCUCGUGUACAUUGACUUCCUUCAAAACGUAAGCAUCUCUUCAUCUUUGAUAAAAAUUUCUAAAAUAAAACCAUUUUAUCACACGUAUACUAGUAAUGCAAGAAGUACUAUAGUUUUAAUCCACGUGAAUUGAUCACAUGAUAGAUCUUGAUGUGUUAGCUAAUUUAUGUCGUUCAUGUAUGUGAACUCCAUUAUGAAAUUUAGAUAUAUCUACGGUUAGAAAUCACUCACGUGUGCACGUAAGUGACUAGACAUAACAGUCAUUCAAUUGAACAUACUAUAUUACUAAUUAAAUUAUAUUUAUUUACGAUAAAUUAUUGCAUGAUAAUAGAAACCGCAACAUAAUGUAAUAAAUUCACAUUUCAUAACAUGAGUUGAUGACAAGUUUAUACUUAACAUUAACACCAAUCACAGAUCUAGGAAUGUUUUAAUUAAUUAAUUUGCUCAAAUCGGAGCCUAAAGUUUGGCAAAAAUUGAGUGGUAAGAUGAAGAAAUUAAUGCUGUUGGUUAAAUGCAGGCAGUACCGGGCAUCGCAUGGGGAAAGAACACUCGAGUAAUAUUGGACGUCGGGUGUGGGGUUGCUAGCUUUGGGGGUUAUCUUUUCGACAGAGACGUUCUAACAAUGUCAAUUGCACCCAAAGAUGAGCAUGAGGCUCAAGUUCAGUUUGCCCUUGAAAGGGGCAUACCUGCAAUCUCUGCCGUCAUGGGUUCCCAGAGGCUUCCCUUCCCCAGCAGGGUCUUCGAUGUCGUUCAUUGCGCCCGUUGCAGGGUCCCUUGGCACAACGAAGGUUCAUUUAAUCUGCUUCGAUCUUUCUGGAAUGUUUUUCCCCUUGAUUAUAUACAAGGUUAAGCAAUUUCUUUUAUGUACCAUUGCAGGUGGUAUGCUACUUUUGGAAUUGAAUCGGGUUUUACGGCCUGGGGGUUACUUUGUGUGGUCAGCCACUCCUGUUUACCGCAAGGAGAAAGAAGAUGUAGAAAUUUGGAAGGGUAGGGAACCAAACUUUUUCAUGUAACAUGUAUAGUGUAGCGGAAAAUGUUCCCUUGUCCCGUUAUAUAUAUUGGCACACUGUCAAUCUCGUACCAUUUGUUAAAUUGACUGUUUGACAACAUUCGAUGCUAGAGUAUUUCGAUAAGAGAAUGUUUCAAUUUUGUAGAAAUGUCUGCGCUGACGGCGUCCAUGUGUUGGGAGGUUGUUGCCAUCAAGAAUGAUAAGGUAAAUUUGGUUGCGGCUGCCAUCUACCGCAAACCCACCUCAAAUCAGUGCUAUGAGCAAAGAAAGCAAAAGCAGCCUCCUAUGUGCAACAACGAUGAUGACCCCAAUGCUGCCUGGUAAAUUUCCAUUAAUGACUUAGUUUUAUAGCCUAAGUUGAUCAUAAUAAGAUUAAGAUCACUAGAUCAGCCAAGUUGAUCAUGACUCGGGUAUUUUGUGCAGGUACGUACCUCUGCAGGCAUGCAUGCACCAGGCACCGAUUGACAAAUCGGAGAGAGGGACUCAAUGGCCUGAGAAAUGGCCGAGUCGACUGCAGACUCCUCCUUACUGGUUAAACAGCUCCCAGAUGGGCAUCUAUGGGAAGCCAGCACCCCAAGAUUUUGCAAGAGAUUAUGAACACUGGAAAAGAGUCAUCAAUAACACUUACAUCAAAAGUUUGGGCAUUAAUUGGUCCAAUGUCAGAAAUGUCAUGGACAUGAGAGCUGUUUACGGAGGGUACUACUACUAAUUAGGAUGAUCUUAUAUUAAUCUAAUUGUUUUACUUAGUUCUAAGUGGUAAUCUCAACUAAGUUGUGCUUAUGUGAGUGCAGGUUUGCUGCAGCUUUGAAGGACCUUAAAGUGUGGGUCAUGAAUGUGGUGAAUAUAGAUUCACCAGAUACACUUCCCAUAAUCUAUGAACGCGGUCUUUUUGGAAUAUACCAUGACUGGUGUGAAUCCUUUAGCACUUAUCCCAGAACCUAUGACCUACUCCAUGCAGACCAUCUAUUUUCAAGGCUUAAAAAGAGGUACAACUCGUCACAUUCAUAAUUCUAAACACUAUUGUGAUCUUGAAUUCAUGGUAACCGUACCUGUUUUGGUUGUCGCAGAUGCAAACUUCCUCCGGUACUGGCAGAGAUUGAUAGGAUUGUCAGGCCUGGAGGUAAACUCAUAGUCCGUGAUGAGUCCAGCACAAUCGGGGAGGUUGAGAACUUGUUGAAGUCCCUGCAUUGGGAGGUUAGUCUAACCGUCUCCAAAAACCAAGAAGGGAUGCUCAGUGCACAGAAAGGCAAAUGGCGGCCAAACACAUAUGCAGAUAGAAAUUCUUCUUAACAUUCAAAGAAACAGAGCAUUCGGCUCAUAUAUGGUGCUCUCAGACUGUUUGUAGGCCGGAACUGUUGAUGUGGUAACAAAUUUCUAGCAUUAAGGUCGUUUUGGAUGCAAACUAAUUUCGCUACAUGAACUGAACAAGAAAGAGAUGUAUUUGUUCAUGUUGUUAAUUGCAUGUAACCCUGUGAGAUACAUAUGUAAUCGUUGAAAACAUAAAUGCAAGAAACCAUACAUUACAUUCGUUUGGAAAAUGAAAGCACUGUCACUUCUAUAUUGGUCUCAUCAACAAGAGGGACAGUUGUUAGUGAUUCAAUCUGGAUUGCAGAACAGAAAACACAGGUUGCUAAUAGUUGAUCAAUUGUGAUAUUUGUCUGUGAGGGAUUAUAACGGAAGAACAUUGUUACGAUGGCGGCGAGUUAUCAAAUGAGUCUUUUAAGCCACUAAUAACAGUCAAAUCAUGCCCAAAACCCAUGAGGUCAAGCAAAUUCAAUACUACAUUGAUAAUUAUUUUGCAGUCACCAAUCAUUUUAGCAACUUCAAAGUCACAGAACUAACUCAUUAAUCGCCAUAUGCAGCUUCAUUUAUAUCUCCUCAACUGAUACUAAGAAGUUUCUGAAGUUGACCACUCAGAACUGCAGCUUUGAGGUCUGAAUUGUAAAAUCACAAGUUAAAAAGUAGACUGAAGGUAACAAUGCAGAUGAACAACUGACCACAGGGCAAAGAAGGAAGGGAAAACAUAUUUAAUAGCACACGCAAACAUGCAAGCAAACAGAAACACAGAUGAGAGCUCACCAUCAGAGCCGCCAAUGUGCUUUCCAUUCACAAAUAUUUGCGGGACAGUGGUUCGGCCUACUAUAUCUAGCAGAACACUCUGAAUUUGGGCUCCAUCAUCUAAACAAGUACAUUUCGAAAAUUAAUCCAAACCUUUUUCACAUUAUGGAGAAGCAGCUGCUCAAAGAUUCAUAAAAGCCAUAGCUAUGUCAUACCUCGAAGAUCAAGUUCGACGACAAAAGGUUGCUCAUGCAAUUCACUGAAUAUGCGCUUGGCACGCAAGCAAUACCUAGCAGCAAAACAGCACAGCACACAAUCCCUCAUUCCAACAUCACUUAUAUUCACACACAAGGGCAUGCACAGAGUUCUUUUUCUAAACAUUUGUACUCAACUUACGAACUAUUUCAAUAACAGAAAACUGAAGAUUUAGCAGAUGAAACGCACCAAUUCACUUCCCAGAAUUAGACAACAAUGCAACAAUACCAUGACAAUGAAAAAUUUCUUAUUGAUAAUCAAGAUGACGGUAUCAUCUUUCCUCGACAUUAACACUCUCUCAUAAUUAUCAAAUUGACCUACUCGUAACUCUCAAAUUCCAAUUUGAUCGCCUUCAGAAAUCCCAAUUAAGACCCCAACCCCAAGACCUCAAAUUUAUCACAAAAACUAAAACGAACAAGCAACAGAGAUAGAACGUAACGUACGGGCAAUAGGAUUUGGAGAAGAUGGCAAUCUUGUUGGAGUAGAUGACAUUUUGUACGAACGCCGAAGGCGAAGUCGAAGCUUCCGCGACGACGACGUUUCCCAACAAUACCAGAGCCGCCGCCACCGCCGCGAUCGCAGCACAGCCCAACAACUCAAACCUACGCAUCUUCCCACGACGACACGACGAUCGCUCUGUUAUGACAUUCCCACCAUUCUAUUAUUCUCCCAUUAUAUCAAGAUUCAGAAUUGCAUAAAGAAACCCGUGGGCCUGGCCCAUUAAUUAGCAGCCCCAAUAAUAACAUUCCCCCAAUUUUCAAAAUUUUCAUUUUUAAGUUUUCAAGCAUCACAGAUUCACAGCAGAUUAUACAAAGGAUUUCAUUUUGGGUGAUUAUGAAUUUCAUUAAACAAAUCUAUAAUCAAAUCCAGAAUACAAAUAUCUUCAAAUCUACAACAUCAUCAAUCAAAUUGAAGCCAAUCGAACGAAGCAAAAAUCAAGAAUUGGAGUUUUCAUCACUUUUGUAGAGCUUGUUGUAUUCGUCGAGCUCGUCGUAAUACACAUCCCAGACGCACCGGACGCAUCCGCUUCCGCAGCAAUCGCCGGGCUCCGGCUUCUCGGGGGGCGGCGGCGGAGGAACCGCUUCCUUGACGGGUUUCAAUUCUUCUUCCUUCGACUUCGCUGCUUCGAUUGGUUGAGUGGCUUGGGUCUUUUUAGCUGCAUCGCCUUCGCGGUCGUCCAUGGAGUUCUGGGCGGUGGUGGUGGCGCGAACGCAGAAGGGUCGUCGUGGUCGCGCUGGGUUGAGUCUGGAGAUUCUGAUGCUUAUAGCUCCUCCUCUCAUGGCCAGGCACGUGUGGGUUCGGGCAUUCUCUAUUUCUGGCGGUUUGUGAUUGGCUGGCGCUGGGGUGUACGGUAUGAGCGCGCGCAGACAACGACGAUGCGCGGCCGUGUCCAUACACGGCUGCUUAGGAUUCAAUGUACUCGUAAUGGAAUGGUGGUGGUCAAAGUCUUCACGAGGUGGGUAUACUGAGAUUCUCCACGUGAGCUUAUUUAAUUGGUUUUAAGUUGCAUUAUAAUUCGAUAGAUGGGCCGGAGCCCAAGUACAGGUGUGUUGGGCUCAGAUGGGGACCUAGCCCAGUUUUUACCAGGGCUAUUUUAGUCUUUUUAUCCUCCUCCGGGACACGUGGUGGCUAUUGAAUUUGUUUGGUCUCCUCCAGGAGAUUUUUAUAACAAGGCUUAAUAUUACAAAACGUCCCUAAGGUUUACGAACUAUCAAAUUGCAUCCUUAAUGUUUUUUUGUGUCAUUUGUGGUCCUCAAGGUUAGUAUAUGCGAUCAUAAAUAGUCUCUGCUAUUAGGUUCCGUCAAAAACUUCGUUAGUUUGCUGACGUGGCAUAUAUAUAUCACAAAACAUCCCUGAGGUUCACACACCUAUCACAAAUGGUCCUUACAAAUUUUUUUUCAUUUUUUCAUUUAAAUUAAUAAAAUUUUGGUUUUCUUUUUUAAAUUAUUUAUAAAUAAAAAAAAAUCAUUUAUAGAAGGAUUUUAAUCUUGAGGACCAUUUAUGAACCCUAAAUCUUUAGUUUUUUUCAUUUUUAAAUUUUAUAAAUUUUAAAUUAUUUUUAAAAAACUCCAUUAGUUUGUUGAUGUGGCAUACAUAUAGAGCCCACAUCUACAAUAAUAUAGUGUCACAUGUAUUUAAAAUAUAAUAUAUAUAUAUUUAAAAAUCAUAAAAAUUUAUAUAAAAAAAACCAAAAUUUAAUGAAUUUUAAAUUAAAAAAUUUAAAAAAAUUUGCAGGGGCCAUUUGUAAUAGGUGCGUGCGUGAACCUAAGGGAUAUUUUGUGAUAUACAUAUAUGCCACGUCAGCAAAUUAACGGAGUUUUUUAUGGAACCUAACGGUAGGGAUCAUUUAUGAUCACACAUACUAAUCUUGAGGACCACAAAUGACAUAAAAAAAAUUGUAAGGAUGCAAUUUGAUAAUUUCGUAAACUUUAUGGACGUUUUGUGAUAAUAAGCCUAAAUAAUAAAGAAGGUAAGAUUUUCAUCAACAAAAAAACAAGUGUAAGAAAAAAGUACAUACAAUAAAGCUUUUUUUAUUUUGUUUUUGGUUUCCCUAUGUUUUGCUUGGGGAGCAAGUAGGAAUCAAUUACUAACGGAAAGGGACAACUGCAGGAUUUGAUUUUGGCUUGGGGAGCAAGCAAAGCGAGUAAAUGGGGGGUUCAGACCAAAAAAAAAAAAAAGCGAGUAAAUGGGGGGCAGAGCAAGGAUUGAGUCUCUAUAAAUAGAGCCAAGAUGAGAGACCUUUCCUUGUAAUUUCUAAGGGUCUCUCUUUGAUAUAAGAAACCCUAGCAAAGCCCUCACUAUUUGCUUAGGCAAAACCUGCUUUUGAUUCCAUCAUGGCGACAUUCACUAACUCUUUCAACCUCUUGGAUGAGAAUGAGCUGAUCGGCAUUGUGGAUGCGAAGGCGGAGGAUGCAUUUAUGGCAGUAGUGAAGAAGUACAAGGAAGAGGAGAAAAAGAAGAAGGGGAAGGAGGAGAAAAAACUGAAGAAGCCACAAGGGCAGCGGAAGACAGAGUUUUGGUACUCUAAUCCCCGGCCAAUUCGAGCAAAGCGUCUUGUGCUUCCCCGCAGUUUUCUCAAAAGCCAGAUUGUUCUUUGCAAAAACAAAGAUCAAGAUCAAGGCCAAGGCAACGGAGUGCAGGUUAAGGAUUCAGCAGAGUCUGGUCCAAUUACUGGCCAGUCCCAGAAUGGUGCUGAUCCUGAUCCUAAAGCUGUAAGACCUGUGUCCAGUACUGCUAGUACUGGCUCUGAGAGGUCCAAUAAUUACAGUGGCCCUCCUCAGAGGGCUAAUGGAGGCCAAUAUUAUGGAAGGGCUAAUCACGGUUAUAAUUAUUCGAGGCGAUAUUACCAAGAGGGUAGUGGUGGUUAUGAAGGGAGGGGUCAGAGCCAUGUAGAAGGAGGAAAGAUUAAUAAUGGAGGCCAAAAUUAUGGAAGGGCUAAUCACGGUUAUAAUUAUCCGAGGCGACAUUACCAAGAGGGUAAUGGUGGUUAUGAAGGGAGGGUUCAGAGCCACGUAGAAGAUGGAGGCCAAAAUUAUGGAAGGGUUAAUGGGGGUUAUAAUGGCAAUUAUGAUCACCAGAGGGCUCAAUGCGGUUUUCGGGAUGAGAGGGGUAGGCGGUGGAGAGGUAAUGGUUACCAAGGAAGAGGAAGAUACUUUGAAGCUGAAAAUAACCAUGGUAACAAUAAUGGGUUGGUGUUGGAGAAGGAGGAAGGGGCUCAAGUUGUUGUGGAGAAGGAGCAACAAGAACAGGGUGGUGUGGAAGAGGGGAAUACGCAGCAACAGGUACAGAGUAAUGGCGUCAAUGUAAGCAGCAACAAGAGUUCUUCUGAAGGAAAGAAAAAGCCGAACAUUAAUGGAAGUCUACGGAGAAAGCUGAAGAGGCAAAAAAAGGAAGCAGAGGCUAUCAAAAACCAAGGUGACAACAAUGCAGCAGCAGCAGCUCCUGAAGGUACCGGUGCUGCUGUAAGUUCUUUUUCUGUUCAGAAAAAGUUUACUGAUACAUUCACUUUGAAAGAAUAUGAGAAGGAGGUUGCCAAGAAAAAGGAUGUGGAAGUUGUGAAAAAAAGCUCUGAUGGCGAUUGUGAUAGGACUGAGACUCUUGUUAAGGAAUUUGAGUUGAUGCGAGUUAUUGGGAAGAAGAAAUUGGAGGAGAAGAAGGUCUCUGUCCCCAAGCCCCAAGAUAAGUCUGCAGAGGUGAACAGGAAGAAAGAUGGUGCUAACGUGAAGAAUAAGACACAGACUAUUAACAUCAAUGAAUUCCACCGACCACAAAACAAGAAGGAUGGUGCUACUGAAGGACAUGAUUCACAGAAGGAUGGUAGAAUUGAGACACAUCAUCAUUCAAAGAGGGAUGGUAGAAUUGAAGCACAUCAUCAUUCACAGAGGGAUGGUAGAUUUGAAAGAAAUCAUCAUUCACAAAGGGAUGGUAGAUUUGAAGGACAUCAUCAUUCACAAAGGAAUGGUAUAUUUGAAGGACAUCAUUCACAGGGAGACAGCAGAUUUAAAGGACAUCAUUCACAGACGGAUGGUAGAUUUGAAGGGCAUCGUUCAAGGCAACAACCUGUGAAAAAGCCUGCUUCAUUCGAAAUAGAUGAAGGCCAAUUUCCAGACUUGGGAAAAUCUAGAAUAUUAACUAUAAAAAAAUUGAAAUAGAAGAAAUGGCCAUAGAGGUCAGAGGCACUUUUCGGAUUGUGACGAAACCCAGUUCACUUUUAUGAAAUUUGGAAUAAUAUUGCUUUAUCAAUUUCCUUGGUACAUAUUGUGUUUGCUCAUGUCUUAAUUUUCUUCCUGUGCUCCGAGAUGCUUUUGGUUUCCAUGAUGGUGUAGUAGGAGAAAGUUCCUUGCAUACUUUCAGGUAUUGCAUUGCUUUUGUGAGACUCCAGUUAACCUAUUACUUCUUAACAAAUGGUAAAGAGUAUCAAACUACAUAUUUCAGAAAACAUACAGCACAAAUUUACAAGCACUCAAUAAGUAAAACAGGCAAGUUUGUUCCAAAUCGACGUGACGAAAUAAAGAUAUAGGAAUAGGACUAUAACUAUAGUUUGUAGAUCACUUGUAUGACCCAAUGAAAAUUCUACCUUUUAAGUCCCAGGAAGAGCAAAAGUAGACCCAAGUAAUCCAAAUUGUAGGCCAAUCUGAAAAAAUUCAUUUUAAAGUCAUUCCAUGGAGGAUAUCUAGGCUCAAGUUCAACGAUGAAGUUUCCUCGCAUGACUACUUUCUCAUGGCUGAAAGUAUCGAAAGAAUACUUCCCAUGGUACCUGCCAAAGCCACUCUGACCAACACCACCAAAGGGUAGAGCAUCACAGAUAAACUGUACAUAGAAAGAUGUGUAGUGUAGUUAGGUUUUUGGCCCCCUUUUAUUGUUUUGAAAAGCAAAUAGGAAAAAGGAAAACACUUAGAAAAUAACAAAUGCAUUACCUGAAUCAAGACGUCGUUGAAAAUCACACUUCCUGAGGAUGUUUCCAAUAGAAUUCGUUGCCUGAAUUCUUCAUCUUUAGUGAAGGCAUAAAUGGCUAGAGGUUUUGGCCUUGAGUUGAUGAAUUCUAUGCUUUCUUGAAUGCUUUUCAACUGUAAAAAUAGACAAAAAGGACGUUUUUGAGAACUGGAGAAGUUAAUAUUCACAAAAGGGGUAUAGCAAUUCUCACCGUGAUUAUUGGAAGCAGUGGACCAAAAAUUUCUUCAGUCAUGAUUGCAGCAUCAAGUGGAGGAUCUAACAGGAUUGUUGGCUCGAUGAACCUGAAAAGUUUGCAGAACAAAACCGAUAAGCGUCUACAGAGACUAAUUAUUUUGUUGCUUGGGCCAGACCAGCAAAGCAUUGUUAAACUACAAACUUCAAGCCAGGGGGGAAAGAAAAAGCCGACACCACACAAAGUAAGAUAUCUGAGUUAUCUUAUCCAAUUCAAAAAACCGACUAAAAGGAUUGAGAACUUACAGAUUUUCUUCAUCAAGUGAACCGCCAUGUACAAUGGAAGCUGCCACAAGAGGGUCUUUGAGGAGAUUGCGCAGCCGCUCAAAAUGGCCCCUAUUUAUGACUCUGGCUAUGCACUUUGAGUCUUUGGGGCUAUCACUAUAAAAUCUCUUGACUGUUUUCUUUAGUAAUUCGAUCUAAAAGACAUACAACUAGGAUAUGAAAUCAUCUCAAAGCCAACGGACCAUUAGGCCUUGCAUAACUAUAAAUCAAAGAAUUUAUUCAAGACAAGUUUACCAGAGUGGAAGCAAGCUUUUCCUCGAUGAGUAUAUAAUCAACUCCUAUACAUGCCUGCCCAUUGCAAGGUCCCCACUUCCCUCCUACAAUUCUUUUGAUAGCCACCUUCAGGGCAAAAAAAAGCAUUUAAUACGAGUAAAUUUAUAGUUUAAAGAGGCACCAAAAUAAAGCAACUCAGAAAACCUUUAAGUCUGAAGGAUUGGAGAAGGAAUCUAGGAUAGUAGGGCAUUUUCCACCCAGCUCUAGAGUAACAGGUGUUAAAUUCUUUGCAGCUGCAGACAUGACAAUGCGCCCUACCUGCGGACUUCCUGAAUUGUGAGAGGCAAAUUAGUGUUUGAAGCAAAGUGUUAUUGAUGACAGUUGUAUGUAUUGCAUUCUUGAUCAUCUUCAUGAGAUCACCAAAGAAACCAGGAAUGAUAAGGAAAUCUGUUAAUUGUGAAAGAAAUUCUAUACUCUGAGGUGAUUGUGGAGAUCUAUACCGGUAAAGAAUAUCUUGUCCCACUUCUGCUGCAGGAGUAGUUCACUAAUUUCUGCUCCACCCUCAAUAACUCUAACGGCUUUAGAGUCCAUGUAUUGAGGGAUAGUGUUGGCAAGAAAAGAAGAGCAAGCCGGUGCUUGUUCUGAAGGUUUUAGAACCACUGUGUUCCCUGCAGAUAUUGCUCCUAUCACAGGGUCCAAUCCCAAGGCUGCAUAAAUAGCAGAACAUGAGCUUUUCUACUUUGUCCUUUAAACUGUUAACAAAAAUCUAAUACACGCAGUUUUAUGAUAUUGUUAUUGCCAAGUUGGGAAGGUAGAAGCAGCGUGUCUUGGAUGCCUAAUGCAUCAACAGAAGUCUCAAAACUCGAGAGAUAUUUCCAUGUGAGAAGCUUAUAUCAACAUAACAAAAUUCAAACAGUUUUCGCUAGUGUUACAAUUACAAAUGUUGUCACUUGAGAAACUGCUGAAUUCCUUCCUUCUUGUGUAUCAAAAGAAACAAUCAUGUCAAAGAUCCGGAUAUAACUGGACUCACCUAUUGGGAAGUUCCAAGAUGCAAAAAUGAGAACCACGCCGAGUGGUUCAGGCAGCACCUCUCCGCUUGUGGGGAACAAAAGCAACGGUAAUCGACUCUGCCAAUAUCAAAAUGCCAGCAAUUCACAUAGACAAUAACCAGAAACCCCAAAUCAGUUUUAGUGUACGGAGGCAAGUGAGGAUAUGGGAUCAUGGGAGGGUUGAAAUCUCAUUACCAGUUUUACUCUGUCAUCUCACCUUAAUCAUUUUUAGCUAAACCCUAAGGCCUAUGUGUAUGUCAUCUUCCCUCAGUCUGAACAUAAGUUCAUGGGUUCAUAGCCAUGACAACAACAGAUCAUUUAAUCAAAUUACCUUUUUAGGGGCCACCCAUUUCUCCAAAUUGCUCAAAGUAUAGUUGAUUGUUUUUUUCACAAUUCCAAUCUACAAUACAAUGAAAUAGCAAAAGCAGAAUUAGCCAAUUCUGAUAUUGUAUACAAACUAAUUUCUUUGCCUUGAAAGAGAAAAAGAAAAUAAAAAAAGAAGAAGAAGAAGCAAUCUACCUCAUCCCGAUAAACUUCAACCGGGUGCUUGCCUAGAUCUUCAUAGAGUGCUUUGAAAAUCUCGUCUUCCUGGUCAUGGAUGAGCUGAAGAAGAGCACUAACUUGGUUUUUUCUCCAUGCAACACUUCGGGUUCUGCCACUUUUGAAGGUCUGCCUCAGCUCAGACAAUGUUUCUUCUACUUCUGUAAUUGCUUCCAUGGUGGUAUUCAUAAGCUCUGAAACUCCAAGAAUGUCUAGAACUUUUAUUGGUUUGGUUCUCUGUUACCAACUUUAAAACUAACUUUAGUUGCAGACACCAAGGAAGUUGCAUCAAAAGAAAUCCAACUAUUUAUGUGUUGAUGUAACCAAACACAAGUUCCAUUCUCCACUUGGUUUUCAUUUAUCGUCUUGCUUGUUUAACGAGCUAGAAAUCAAUGCUACUUGACCUACCAAUCUGGAAAAACCACGACAAGAAAUAAAUGGAAAAGGAACUAGUUUGGAUCGUUCACAUGUGCUACCCGGUCACAAAGGACAUGUCCAACAGCAGCCAGUUUAAAAAGUUAGGUAAUGGUGUACAGUGUCCGCUAUUUAUUUUUAAUUUUUUUAAUUUUUAUCAAAUAUAAAAUUUUCAUUCAUCACUAGCACCAAACAAACGAUAAAAGUUUACAGACGAAUUUUUGGGGGGUGUUAAUGUGGUCUCAUUAAAACUUUGCCAUAAAAAACCCUCAACAAACGAUAUUGUCCGCUUUAGGCCCCCCUCUCUGCCCUCACGGUUUUGUUUCUGGGACCUCACGAGAAACUUCCCAGUGGGUCACCCAUCAUGGGAUUGCUCUAGCCCCAACUUGCUUAACUUCGAAGUUCCCAUGACUCCGAAGCCAGUGAGCUCCCAAAAUGUCUCGUGCUAGAUGGAGGUGGACAUGUACAGAUAAGGCACAUCACACCCUUUCCGUUGGUCGAUGUGGGAUGUUACACCAAGUAUUGAGCUUUCGCCACACUUGUUCUCGCACAUAAUUAAACAUCCGGGAUUUGCUGCAUUGAGCUAAGGUAGGCAGACUAAGUGUUCAUGACAUGUAACAAUCCGCACUCCAAGCAUUUUAGAAAUCAGUUGCUUCAUCACCGGAUCAGUGUUGGGGCUAAAACAUGCUGUAUACUUAUCAAAAUUAAUUUUUCGACCAGUUUCUCUUUCAUACAUGCUGAGAAUCUAAAGCAAAUGAGCACAAUCAGCUAGAUGGGCAUUACAAAAAAGUAGACUAUCAUCUGCAAAAAAUAAAUGAGAAAUAGUAGGUGCUCCAUGAGCCACAAAAAUGCCGCUGAUACGCUUGAUUCUGAGUGCGUUAGAAAGCAAAGCAGACAACCCCUCCACACAGAUUAAAAACAGAUAUGGAGAGAGAGGAUCUCCUUGGCGCAGCCCCCUUGAUGGCACAAUCAUUCCCGAAGCCACCCCCCGAACUUGGACAGAGUAUGUAACAGUGGAUAUACAAUCCAUAAUUAGCUUCACCCAUCUGUCGUUAAAGUCCAAGCUCUUAAGCAUAGCCUCAAUAAAGGUCCAUUCCACUAUGUCAUAAGCUUUAUACAUAUCAAGCUUUAAUACCAUUUUCUUCAGCUUACUCCCACCAUGCCGUUUAAUAGCAUGUAUGCUCUCAAAAGCAGCAAUAAUGUUAUCCAUAAUCAACCGUGUAGGGACAAACGCGCUUUGAAACUCGAAGAUAAUAAGAGGCAUAAUAGGCUUCAACCUGUUAACUAUAAUUUUGGAAAUCGUCUUGGAUAUCAUCUUAUAAAUCAUUGUACACAAACUAAUCGGCCGAAACUCAAUAACUUUUGUUGGUUUGUCUACCUUAGGAAUGAGCGUCAAAAGUAUGUAAUCGACAAUCUCUAUGUGUCUGCUAUUUAUCUCAAUCUCUCCCGUUACGUUUCUCUAGUUCAACUUUACAACGUGUCAUGUAAUUGCGAUCAACAAUUAGAAAUCGCCCAAAUACAAUAAAUUGCCAAAUCUGUAUAAAAAGUUGAAAAUAGGGAUUAUUGUUGAGCUUCAAUAGGCUUUUCAUUGCUGUCACAUAGUUAAACAGUAGCUAGAGUCCACUAUCUACCGAAAAACAUUAAUGGGGCAGGACAGACAAAGAAGUCAUAGUCGCGAUUAACAAAUAACCAUAAACUAUAAUUGAAAUCCAAAGAAAGUGGGCCAAUGGUUUAACAUUAUUAUCACGUCAUAAUUAUGAAAUAGAUGGCUAUUAAUAACUCCCUAGAUAUUUAUUUCAUAAUCACAUCUCCAACACUAGUAGCAAACUAAAGGCUCGUUUGUUACACAAUACUAUCUUGUAUAUAUAUAUAUAUAUACACGAAUAUACAUGUAUAUAGGUGUAUCUAUAUAUUAUAAUAUAUACAUGGGUAUAAUACAUAUACAUACAUAUAUAUAUUGUAAUAGAUAAUAUAUAUGGGUAUGUUAUAAUAAUAAUAUACAUGUAUAUUAUAAUAUAUAUACAUAUAGUAUAAAUAUAUAAUGUAUAUGUGUAUAUAUGUGUGUAUAUGUAUAUGUGUAUAUACAUGUGUAUAUAUAUACAUGUAUGCUUUUAUUAUAAUAUUAAUAUGUAUUUGUAUAUAUUAUAUAUGUAUAUAUGUGUUCAUUUAUAUACAUGUAUAUGUGUAUAUACGUGUAUAUAUGUACAUUAAUAUACAAUAUAAUAUAUAUUACAUAUAUACAUGUAUGCUAUUAUUAUAAUAUUAAUAUGUAUGUGUAUAUGUGUUUAUAUAUACAUGUAUAUGUGUCUAUACGUGUAUAUAUGUACAUUAAUAUAUAAUAUUAUAUAUAUUACAUAUAUACAUGUAUGCUAUUAUUAUAAUAUUAAUAUGUAUGUGUAUAUGGGUAUAUUAUAAUAAUAAUAAUAAUAAUAGUAAUAUAUGUUAUUAGUAUAAUAUAUGCAUCUUAUACAUUGGUGAACAUAAGACUAGUUAAUCAUCUCUUUCUACAUGGGCUUAGUAGUCCCCUCCUAAGGAGGUGUUUUUAGUGGGCUCGGUAUUAGCAAUCCCAUCUAAGACUAGAAUUACAUGAAACAAACAUAGUACUAAAUCCAGUCUAAACCAAGCCUGUUUACCAAACGAGCCCUAAACUCUUUAAAUUGAAGUUUGUUGACCUACGUGACAAUUUGAAAAACUUUUUUUGUUACUUUAAUAAUUUAUGUUCUAACAAACUCUUCAAUUCAAUUAAUGCAAUGUUAUGGAAAAGAAUGAAAAAUAUAAAAAAAUGUGAAAAAUAUCUAUGUAUUUAUUGUUUGAAAAAAAAAAUGCAUGUUUUGAACAUUUUCAAGGUAGGUUUUAUUUUUUAAAAGUAAAAUUAAAUGUUUUGAAGAGUUAAUGUCAACUUAUCAGUUCUAAAAAGAUAAAAAGAUAUUGCAGCUUUGAUGAUUGAAUUUGACAAGACUGUUAGAGAGGGUUUUGAUUAUGUGACUCACCUAUUUUAGCAUUCCAAAACUAUUGAAGAGGCUAUUAAAGAUGCUCUAAGCCUUCAAUAUUGAUUGAUAUCAAUAUUUUUUAUUUAUUUUGUUGAUACUAAUUUAACCUUCAUUUAGUUAUGUACCUCCUCCAAUGUUAUUAUUUUCGGUGUGUUGUCGGCAUCUGCAUGCCUCCUAGGGUUCGUAACCUGCAUAAUUCAGAGCUUAUAUCUCAAUUAAGUAAGCUAACUCCUUCAUUCACUGAAAAAAGAAGAAUAUCAUAUGGUUGAAGCAUUUAUGGUUCAUGACAAGGCAUUUGAAAAUUAUCAUUCGUCGGUGCAAUUCUGUAUUUUUUUGGUCUAACAAGUGACAUAGUGAUCUUGGACAUAUAAUAAAUAAAUCAUUAAAUCUUUCACAUUUCAAAAUUGAUUUCAGCUUGCAAUUGCAGUAUUUUAUUUUAUGCAUGGCUUGAUUAAAAUCUCUUUCACUGAAUAAAAAGAAGAAAAAAAAAAUCAAGUUUUGUUUUGAAGGCAGUCUUUUCGGGCCCAUAGUCGAGGCAAGCCUGGGCUUCCAUGUUUUGGCUUUGAGCCUAACUUUGGAGAAGAAGAAAAAAUAUUAGAAUUUAGAACAGAAACUUUAGAUUUGGGCCAUGCUACUCUCUCAUAGGAUAACCGAGAUGGUACGCACGCAAGUAGAUGAUUUUUGAUCGUUAAUAAGACAUGUCGCUUAAGAGUCACUUGCUUAAACAAUCAUUAAUAAGACCUUCUAUAUGUUGUGAGUCAAAGAGGCCAACAUCCCCCAAACAAUUUGAAUUAGUUGCUUUUUGACAUGACCAACAUCCUCAUAUGUACAUACAAUGCACUUUCCAUUUUUUGCGUUGUAUUUGAAAGGAGAACAAUUUUUCUCUAUUUACUUUUCUAUUUUAGGGAUGUCAUGGGCAUUGGGUUGGAAAUUGCCUAAUUGUUGGCUGUCCAAUCAAAUCAGUUUCUGUGCAGCCCAGAAUCAAAUCCACAAGGUAGAUAGCCUAGGAGCCAUUUUAAGCAAUCGGCCUAUGAAGCAAGUUUUGCUUAAUUAAACAUAUUGUUAAGGCAAAUAUAUGAACCCAAUGAAGUGAUCGGCAGUCCAAGAGAUGCCCUCUUAAGAAAACUAACACAAAAACAAGAAGCCAACAAGUACUCCAUAUCACAGAUUGUGAAAAUAUCAAGAGCUAAAACCAAGGCAUGCAUAUAUAUAGGCAUGAAGCUUUUAAAUUACAGAGAGGUCAUUUACAUUCACUCAUUCUGAUGAUAUUUCAAAAGCCCUGUCUCUCCUAUGAAGAGAGAGAGAGAGAGAGAGAGAGAGAGAGAGAGAGAGAGAGAGAGAGAGAGAGAGAGAGAGAGAUGGGACAUAAGAUGUGUGCUAACCCACAACGUUAAUAUCUUGGAAGUCUCUCACUCAUUCAACCUCGAUAUUGAGGUCAAAGUAAAUUAGAGAUUUACACCUUGAGCAUGAUGAGCCUGGCUUGUAGCUUCAGUCUCAAAAGAGAGACUCAAAUAUAUGUAUAAAGAUACACACUUCAAGUCUCUAUUUUAAAAUUGAAAGAAUCGUUAACUUUUUAUGUCAUGGAUGAAUGUAUACAUUUUUAUGUUUAUUUCUCUUAUCACGUGUUACUUUAUAAAUACAUUAGUUAUAUAUGCACAUGACACAUAUAAAUUUCUCUAGUACCUAUACGUAGAUUUAACCCACAUCCCAACUAAUUCCUAACUUUUCCUAUCUCCUCCAAUCUCAACCUUCAUAUUAAAAAUUUCAUCACUUCGCACUAACUCAUUUUGAAACUUUGAAAAAAAGUAUAUUAGUAUCCAAACUCUUUAUAAAUUUUGAGCUCCUCUCACUAACUCAAGUGGCCUUGAUCAACUUCAACUGAUGAGCUUAGCAACAAGCACGCUUGUGUUUGUGCUGUCAUGGUCUCAACAGUGUAAAAUUUAACCUUAUAGCUAGCUUUAGCUAAAGCCUAAAGCUAUGUCUGUCUACAAGGGCUACUAGCUGUAUAUACAUAAAGCUUUACAAGACACUACCUAGCAGUUUAUCAGCAACGACAUUCUUGGUUACCCUACAACCUAACUUUAUCAUCUCACUUUCCCGAUAUAGAAACCCCCUCUCUUCUUCCUCAUCUCACUUUCAUUAUAUAAACAAACCAACCCUCUUCCCCCAUUUGUUCAGAAAUUAAACAAGAUCCAAGGACCUAGAAAUUUUCAAAGAAAGAAAAAAAUAGAGAAAAUUGAGAGAGGAAAUAUGGGUCGCGGGAAGAUUGAGAUCAAGCUGAUUGAAAACCACACAAACAGGCAGGUGACCUACUCCAAGAGAAGAAACGGGAUUUUCAAGAAGGCUCAGGAGCUCACCGUCCUCUGUGAUGCCAGGGUCUCUCUCAUCAUGCUCUCCAACACUGGUAAAAUGCACGAGUAUAUUAGCCCUACUACCACGUACGUCCUCUCUUUCUCUCUUGCUCUCUCUCUCUCAUCAAACCCUAUUUUUAUUUUUUUGUUUAAUUAAUUUCUUCCUUCCUUUUGUUCCACUUUGAUUUGUUUAAUUUGUUUAAUUUUUUUUAUUUGUAAUAGGACCAAGAACAUGUAUGAUGAUUACCAAAAAACUUUGGGGGUCGAUCUGUGGAGCUCACACUACCAGGUUAACCAAGCACAUACCCUCUUAAUUAUUUUAUCUUCUUUUUAUUUUUUAUUUUUUUUUAUAUAUAGAUAAAAAUAAAUAAAUUAUUGUUAGUUUUUGUUUCUGGUUAAUUUGUUUACUUCUUGGUGGGUGCAGGCAAUGAAAGACACCUUGUGGAAACUGAAAGAGAUCAACAAUAAGCUGAGGAGAGAGAUCAGGUAAUUGGGAAACUGCAAAAGAAGAAAUCAAUUUAUUGUUGAGUGGAUGAAUAUUUUUUAUUAGGGUAUUAUUAUAUAUUUGUGAAAUUAACAGGCAGAGGGUGGGUCAUGAUCUCAAUGGCCUGACAUAUGAUCAGCUGCGUUCUCUGGAGGAUAAGAUGGCUUCUUCCUUGGAGGCCAUACGUGAAAGGAAGGUCAGAUUUUUGUUUCUAACUUUUCGUUUUUGCUAUUAGAAGUUAAUCACAAAGUUCAAUUGGUGUUGCUUGGACAUGGAUCUGCAAAAAUCUUAACUUAGGGUUUCAGAAAUUCCAGUCUUUUUUGUGUGUGUUUAUCCUAAAAAUUUUAAAUCCCCAUUAAUAAAACAAUUUUGUAGAAUUUCAGAGAAGAUAGGGUAACAAAAGGAAGCCUUAAUAAUCUCUGUCAAUCAGCUGUUAUGGAAGUUUGUGUGUGAGGUUAAUCUUUUUGCUGGAUUCUUUACAGUACCACGUGCUCAAAACUCAGACGGAGACCUGCAAGAAGAAGGUAAUUAAGAAUUUUUACUGGAUAGUUUUCUAUAUAUAUAUAUAUAUUUGGUAGUGUUGUUAAUUAAUCCCACUGCUGCAGGUGAAGAACUUGCAGGAAAGAAGAGGAAAUAUGCUACAUGGUUAUGUAAGCAAGCAUUUAUAUAUGCACCCUGAAAAAUUAAUUACGUUUCUAAUAAUUAAGUUUUAUAUGUGGAGCCCUUUUGAUUGAUUGAGUAAUUUUGUUUGGAAAUUUGGAGUUUGAUCAGGAAGUAGCCUCUGAGGAUCCACAAUAUGGGUACGUGGACAAUGAGGGAGAAUAUGAAUCUGCGGUUGCAUUGGCAAAUGGGGCGUCCAACUUGUUCACUAUCCACCUCCACCAAGACAUCCGUGACCACGCUAACCUCCACCACCACGGAGGAAGUUCGCUUGGCUCCUCCAUUACUCAUCUGCACGAUCUGCGCCUCGCUUGAUCGAUCCAUGGAUGAUUAAUUGCCACUAAGUAAUUAGGCAAUGACUUAGACUUGGUAAUCUUUCUAAAAAUAGAAGCAUAUAUAUAUAUAUAUAUAUAUAUAUAUAUGAUCAUGUUUUAUGAAACAUUAAGAGAAUGGCCCCAAAGAACUGAAAUGAAUUUGAGUGCCCUUCUUGCUUGUGGGUUUGUUUGUUUGUAUAAUGUUUGUAUUCCAUAAUGUAUCUUGACUGACACUGCUAUUGAUAGUGUUUUGAGUGUGAUCUUGAUCAUGGUAUUGGCUCCAAACUCUAGCAACCUUUGCAUUUAAGAUAUAGAGGGAUUGGUUUAUCAAUUAUGAACUAAUUGAUACACAAGAAUACCUUUUGUUUUUCUUCAAAUUCUAGUAUAUUAUGUUAAUUUGUCAAAUCAACUAGCUUCUUGAUUUUUGUGUGAAUUCUAAUGUAAUAUGUUAAGUUGUUAAGUUAUUAAUAAUUUAACAUCUCGACUUGCGUUCAUACGCGUGUUAUAAUGUUAAAUUGUGCAAAAAUACUGAUUUUGGAUGACAUUUCACUCUGUUUGUAUGAUUUUAUGGCCACUUUUUCCUUUUUAAAACUGGAAUAUUUGAGAUGCUUACUCCAAAAAGUAUGAGUAGACUUUGUACUCAAAAACUAAAAAUACUACUGAUCAUUCAAUAGAGAAAGACGUUAAUGGGCUCAUUUUCUCCGGCAUGGGCUUGGGCUUCUCUUUGCGUAUUGCCACUCCGAAAACGGCGUCGCUUAUUUAAACUGAAGUACAAUUUUAGAAAGAAGAAAAUUAAUGUGGUGAAACCAUAUUUGUUUCUCGGACGAAACCGAUAAGAAAAGUCAACCAAUGAAAUUACAGAGUGUCGCUAACAGGUAACAAAUUAACGCUGAAAAAAUUGUGCAAUCAAAUCACUGCGAAAUCAAUAUUCUAUCCCAAAAGAAUUAAGAUUAAAAUAGGAAGAAAAAAAAAAACUGAGCCAAAGCAAUGCGAAUAAUAAUCAAAACGGAGAUUUAACUCAGCAACGAGUCCGUGAACCGUUACGCGCGUGUUCGUAAAGUCAGACAACUCAGCCGGUGCUUUUCACCUUUGCCACUUUUCACUCGCCAGAACUCGGUCGACUCAGUGACUCAGUAUCUGCAACUUUCUCUCCACCACUCUCAGAAAUUAACAGCUCUCGAAGCCUCAAAAUCCACGGAGAUCUCUCAAAUUUUGAAAACGAAGAGCUUAGAAUUCAAUUUCAAGUUCAAUUUUCAAAACGAUUUCGGAGGGACCAAAGCCACAUGGAAGCAGCGGCCUCGGCUCCUCCUUGGAUCCCUGAAGACGACCUUCGCUUGAAGAAGGCCAUGGAGGUACUUCUCUGCAAAUUUUCGCUCAAUUUCAGCAUUUCACAUUUCAGUCCUUUCACUUUUCAAUUAUUGUCGUUACUGCCACUUUAGUAUCAUCAUCUUCUGUUUCGAAUUUGGCCUUUUCACAUUAGAGUGAUUAGUUAAUUAAAUUUGAUUUUUGAAUCUGUUUGGUGCUUUUUGACAAUUUGCAGGCAGGUGCUUCUCUGGAAGCACUUGCCAAAGGAGCUGUGCGAUUUUCGCGCAAGUUCUCGGUCCGGGAAUUGCGAGAGCGGUGGUCCUCGCUCCUCUACGAUGCCGAUAUCUCGGCCGAGGCCUCGUCUCGGAUGCUGGAAGUCGAAGGUUGCAAUUCCAGCGCAGCGUUCAAGUCUAGUAGAGUCGGCAGUUCUAGGGAUUCAAAGCGAAAAGGCGAAAGCAUACGCAAACACUACUAUGCUAUGCAGAAGAAACUCCGCACUUCUAAUUCCGUUGAUCCUUACUCUUAUCACAAAAAAUUUUUCGAUCCCAAUUUUCUGUUCGCGCCACACCUUGAUAAUGGCAAGGCUUUAGAGGAAAAUUUUGGGGUUGGAGAUCAUAAUCAACCCUUGUUUAUGGAUUGCAAUGGCAAUGAGAGCAAUGCUGAGGAUGCAUUUCGUGCUGGAGAGUGUGUCUCAAUUGGAAAUCAUGGUGUGGAGGGAGUUGUGAGGGAAGGGUGCCCUAAUGUAUUUGUGGAACAGGUUUCAUUAUUGCCGAAUGGAUUAGGAGAUGAUUCUUUUUUCCACGAUCCUGCUUGUGAAGAUUUGCCUACUCAGGGAGAUGAUUUAAUUGAUUUUGCAAAUGUGGAAGAUAUAGGGCCAUCGCAUGCAUCGACAGAUGAGCCUCUUUGGAAAACGAUUGAGGAUGUACCAGCACCAGAAAUGCCAAUUGAUGUGAGCCUCGGGGUUAAUGGUGAGGAUGCCAAAAAGACAUUGGUAGUUCCUGAUGAUGCGGAUGGUGGUUCAUCUCAAUAUGAAGUUGUCCAUUCUGAGGCAAUGUUGAAUGAUAGAGAAGUUUGCGAUGAACUGAAUAGGUCUGUAACAAUCUCCGGAGGUGAUUAUGCAGAUAUAUACCUUACGAAUGAGGAUGAGCUCACCUUCAUGGAUGUAAAUGGAAAGGAGUCAAUGGAUAAGUCCUCUUAUGAAAGCCUGAAGCCGAUUCCGUUGAGUUCUCCCAAAGAUGUUCAUGAAUAUGUUGUGCCUGAUCCUUGUCAACCUCAAAAGUUGAUUUCAGACUCAUUCCAGGAUGUUUCACACAAUGUGCAUACUGCCAAGAUGCCCGACUCUUGUCUACCACAAAAUUUGAUUUCAGAAACAUGCCAGGAUGUUUCAGACAAUGUGCAUGCUGCCGAGAUGGAUGUUUCCGCUAAACCGUCUCACUCUCUGCAUGACGAGCAGCGUGAUAUUUCUUCUGCUGAAGCCAAUAAUCCAUCAUCUACAUCAGUGCCAAAUCCUCUUACUCCUGAACUUCGUGAGAAAGAGAUGAUUUGCACAUUGAAUACCGAGGAUCCUGAAAUCCCAUGCAAUGAUGAUAUAUUUCCACCUACUGGAACAGUUCAUGCUGUAGUGCAGCCAACCUUAAAAGAAGCUAGUGGGUUAGCGUCCUCUACUGGCAAAAGAAAAUGUGAUCAACAAACAAUAACCUUGACAAAAGAAGAAGAUCCUGCACAACCUUUUAAGGUUCCUCGGAUGGUAGGACAUGACACAAUUACAGAAAACAGCCCCAACCAUGCACUUGUUUCUUUUGGAAUUAAAGCUGCAUAUGGUGAUAGUAACGGUCUAGCUUCAGUCUCCAAACAUGAUAAAAAUGUCCCCGCCAACCCAAGCCAAUGCAGAUCAGCACAUCAACCUCCUAAGUCUAUCCCAAAUCGAGUGCUAAAAGAAGAGGUUAAUUUUUAUCUGGGGUCACUUCACACAAUGGAUUUCAUAUGUAAUUACUUUAUGAUGUUCUUGGUUUCUAUUGCAAAAAUAUAUCACUAAAGGUGGUUGUUCUAAACAGGGAAUAGUUGCUCCAUCUACAGUUGCAGAACUUGCACCCGUAAUCACAGAGCCAGGUUCUACUAAAAUGACUUUUCUAGAACCAGAAGCCAACCCCUCAGCACUAGACUGUGAAGAAUCUGAGGAAGAAUCUGAGGACGAUGUUGAUGAUGAUGAUGCUGACAUUCCCUAUUUUUCUGAUAUUGAACAGAUGGUAAGCAUCGAUAAUUUUGUUGAACAAGCAAGGAUAGGUCUGGUCGUUUAAUUCUCUGUUUUCUUUGUUUUCGCUUGCGCUAAACUAUCAAAAUCUUCAAUUCACCCAUAUCCUACAUCAUUUGUUGAUUAGCUAAUUUUGUAAAUAACAUCUGAUAUUGAACAGAUGGUAAUAAUUAUGUCCUACUAAGUUCAUUUCUAGGAUCUGCCUUCUGUAACUUGUUUAUGUUAUUUUUCAGAUACUUGAGAUGGAUUUAUGUCCAGAUGAUCAGGAUUCAUAUUUCAGUAAAAUAGGUAACUCCUCUAAUUUGGGUGCUGUGCUAGUAUCUGAUGAUCCUUCUGCUUCUGUUUCUAAUCAAUUCUGAAUUUUGAUAUCUUAUAUGAAGAAAGCUACUCUUGUAUAUAAGUGAACUUUAUUAAGAUUUCCAUGAUAGUAUAAAUUCUAUGAUUUUGAAUGUCAAGAACUAUAUUAUACUUGUCAUUUUUUUAAUGUAAGAGAAAUCUACUCUGCAUUAUGUACUGGCCUUUGUUAUGGUUUAAACAUCUAUAUUUAAGUUUUUAAGUGAUAAAGAUUACAAAAACCACCUUUAAUGAUUUUAUAUUUCAUUUUUAUCUGGUUAUUGAGAAGGAGAACAUAUCAGCCAUUCAGUAUUAAAUGUAACUGUUGAACGUAUAGCAUGUCUGCCAUUAUGUUCAAAUAUAGUUUUUGUUUUCUUUUAAAAUUCUUUUCCUUGUUAUUUCCAGCCUCAGCAUAUCAAGAUGAGGAUUCUAAAAGGCAUAUCAUGAGAUUAGAACAGUGUGCACGAUCCUCUAUGCAAAGAGACCUUGCAUCUAAAGGUGCACUUGCUGUAUUGUAUGGUCGCCAUGUAAAGGAAUAUAUUAAGAAAACUGAGGUAUGUUUGUCAAAUUUUAAAGUUCUGAUUCGGAAUCACACGUCACCUUUGCAGACCUUAUUGCAACCUCUUCCUACUUUGCAGGUAAUACUUGGCCGGGCAACAGAAGAUAAUGAAGUUGAUAUUGAUUUGGGAAAGGAAGGGCUACACAACAAAAUAUCUAGACGGCAGGUGAGAAUCGUUUUGUUCUCCUAAUGCAAUUGUUUCCAGGACUUGCAUUUGUUGAUGGUCAGCUUAUAUUAAACCAGUUGCUCUUUGAUAAUUCAUACAAACGGUAGAAUGGGAUUGAGAUGUCAAAUAACUAGUUUUUUAACAUUACACCCUAUCUUGUGAAGGGUAUUAUUAAAUAAGGGUCGUGAUUUCCACAUUCCCAUUUUAUCCAUUUGCAGUCCUCCCCCUUAUUUUUGCGCUUUGGUAAUUGAGUAAACAAAAGGAGAACUGAAGCAUAUUGUAAGGAAGGAGUGAAAACGGACAAAAUGAGAAGGGCUAAGAUUGUAGAUUAGAAUCUGAUAUGUAUAAAUGGUUAAUGAUCUUAAACCCCUCUUUUUCUCGUUAAUGUUAUUUUUUAAAUAUCCAACCUGAUGAAGCAUGUGACUUUGGCCAUUGUCUCCACAAGUCUGAUUGCAGCAUGUUAGACCAAAGUGGAAGUACUAAUUGUUUGUCCUAGUUGUUUUUAAAUUCCUUUCAAGAAAUUUGGCUAUGACAUUCGUAUGACUAUUGUUACUUAUUCUCUAGGCCGUGAUAAAGAUGGAAGGAGAUGGUUCUUUCUCUUUGAAGAAUCUUGGCAAGGGUUCAAUUUUUUUGAACGGCAAAGAAGUUACUAUUGGACAGCUUGUUAGCCUUAGUUCAAGUAACUUGAUUGAGGUAAAUGGUUUUCUAUUUUUCUGGUCACACUUCAAAUCUCUAGUUACUUUAGUUCUAUUUAUUCCUUGUUCUGGGUUGUCUCAAGCAUAUGCUUCUUGGUCUUGGUUCAAGUGAUUAGAAUGAAGGAGGGUAAUGGUUUCCCAUCCUUAAUUCUAAAACAGCUGAUAUCCUCGUAGGAUUCUCUUGUCGUCCUUCAAAGUUUCUGCUUUCUCUUAUGCUACCGCACUUGUUCCAGCUUCCCCCAACAUGCUUGCUCCUACUAAUUUAGUAUUCAUUAAUGGAUUGUUAUCGUGUUCUUGGCUUAUGACAGCCCAAUUGAUUUAUUGUUUAUUACAAUCUGCAGAUUAGGGAAAUGGCCUUUGUCUUUGAGAUAAAUCACAAAUACACCAAGUUUGAAUGGUCGCCUGGGAGAGGUCCAUAAGUGGAGAAAAUUGUAAAGGUGACUUUUCUUGUUCCAAUUUUUUUUUGAAAAAUAGAUUCAUACUUGGUAUGCUCGAUUAUAGAAUGUAUAGGCAUUUAUUAAUUUACCUCUAUGUAUGUAUAAUUAAUUAGUUGAGAAAAGAUGUAUUACAAAAAUAAAUAAAUAAGUAAAUAACUGCUAAUUAUGUAACCACCGCUAACAGGAAUUACCAGCUCCCUUGUUAUUUCAACUUGCCUUUGCCCAAUGUUUUGAUGGUAGUUUGUUAUUCAACGGUUGACGUUUGCCGUUUAUCAUUAGCCCGAACCCCCACCAAAAGACAACUAGGAUUUUGACAAUUGAUGUAUUUCUUGGUCCCUAUUUUGUCUGCGGAAUGCUAAAGGCAGUCGCUUAGUGUACAUCGUUGACUGGGACCCCACUGCAGGAAUCAUGCUUAUCGACGGCUGACAGCCACCCACCGUGCCCGUCGAUGGCUGUCUAGCAUUACUCAUCUUGUUUGCAAGCUUAAUUUCCCAAAUUCACAGUAGGAAUUCUGAAGGAUCUUCCUGAAUGGUGGUUGGUUGGACUUGGAAAAUACCAAACGCGAAUCUGCUUGGUGGAAAUGGGGUGGCUUUCUGGAAAGUUUGCUGUAUUUUCAAGUUUGUUAGCUCUAAUAAGCUCUAAUAAUAAAAGUGCUUAAGUCAACCGCUCGAUUUGACAUUAGUGAUAUCGGUUGCUAAAAUCACCCACCAACUUAGAGCUCGCUCUUUGUAACAACUGAAUCAAAGGGGAUUAGAUUCCAUGUGCUGCUGGCAUUUGAUUCCAAUGCCCAACCACCUAUUUUUCUUUUUUCUUUUUACCGGUAGGUUCUGCUUUUGUGUAAAGAGGCCAUUUCGAGUGACUUAUAGGCAAAGGCAAAAGAACCUAUUCGAUGUCCAAAGCAUAUUGGCAUAAAGAAGGCAAAAGAAAAUCGCAUCAUUCUACACAAACACAAUCAAUUAACCUAAUUUAUAGAAACUGUUGAAACAUUUUUGGUGUGAAAGAAUAUGAGCUCAAUAUAUGAGAGUAUCAUGGGCUCAAUAUACGAGCCCACAUUUUGCAUCAACGAGCCAAUCCACAUCUCAACUCGAUCUGGACUAGAGUCUAAAAAAUUAAGUUAGUUGGUUCCUCAUUUUUAUCCAACUCUUAAAUAUUUUAGCAUUAUCUCUUGCAUUUUAUUAUGAAAAUUAUGGCCAUGGAUAUAGAAAAACAACGACAGCUCGACAGUAGUAAUAACAACUCUCAGCUUCAGCUAACCAACACACGUCACUGUAUCCGUAUACAUACAGCCAAAGGUGUCCACUCUAGGACCAACACACGACCUUCUUCCUCUCUCCCUCUCCCUAAUUUGUAUACUAAAUUUAGUGACAGCCUUCUCUCUCUCUCUCUUUAUUUCUGUGACAAGUGCCCGUGAGCCCGUGAGAAAACCACUCAUCAUAUAAAGAUCUCUGAACUCUCUGACCCCAAAAUACAAAAAGAGUUUUUGCGAAAGCUCUCUCUCUCUCCCACCCACAUCAGAAUUCGCAUUCUGAUUUUCCACCGAAACCAACGGUCCUGAUCAACCCUGCUGUCCUUGCUCAAACUCCAUAACCCUUAUCUUCGUUCAUAUUCCCUCAAACCUACAAACGGUCCACCAUCAUCACUCUCGAGUAAAAACACCAAAUGGGUGUUCUUAGCAAUUUAUCUCCAUCUUCUUCGCCCCUUGCUGUUUUGCUAAUCACACUCACAACCCUGCAACUACUUGGAGCAGAAUCAAAGACCUUCUGGGGAGAUAUAGAAGCUCUCAAGGAGCUCAAGAACGCUCUGGACCCCACCUCAGUGAGCCCAGGCUCAUGCAUAAGCUCAUGGGACUUCAAGCUCGACCCCUGCGACAAUCUUUUCAGCGACCGAUUCACCUGCGGCUUCAGGUGUGACUUGGUCGACUCAGCAACGAGUCGACUCACCGAGCUCAGCCUCGACCAGGCCGGUUACUCCGGUUCACUCUCCUCCAUCUCCUGGAACCUCCCUUACCUGCAAACCCUCGACCUCUCCAACAACUUCUUCUCCGGCUCAAUCCCCGACUCGCUCUCCAACCUGACUCGGCUGACUCGACUCGGUCUCUCCGGAAACUCCUUCUCUGGCUCCAUACCCGCAUCCAUCGGAUCACUCUCCAACCUUGAGGAGCUUUACCUCGACAGCAACAGUCUCCACGGCGCAAUCCCACCGAGUUUGAAUCGGCUGGCGAGCUUGAAACGACUCGAGCUCCAGGGGAACCAACUCAGCGGCGAGUUGCCCGAGUUGGGUUCUCUGCAAAACCUCUUCUACUUGGACGCCAGCAACAACGUCAUUUCUGGGCAAAUCCCAUUAACCCUCCCGAGCUCUCUGCUCCAAAUCUCCAUGAGAAACAACAGCUUGCAAGGAACAGUCCCGGAAAAUAUCAAACACUUGGGUUUUUUGCAGGUGCUCGAUCUGAGUCACAACCAACUCGGUGGCUCUGUUCCCUCUUACCUCUUCGAGCACCCAUCACUCCAGCAACUCACUCUUUCUUUCAACCAAUUCUCGUCCGUACAGCCCCCAAUUUCUCUGGGCACCCAGAGCGAGAUGAUUGCCCUGGACCUCAGCAACAACCAGCUCAAAGGUCUCCUGCCAUCUUUCCUGCCCAUGAUGCCAAAGCUCUCUGCUUUGACAUUGGAGAACAACAAGUUCAUGGGUAUGAUUCCGACCCAGUACGCCUUCAAAGUGGCCGUACCCGGAUCCGGAGUCUCGGCGUUCGAGAGGCUGUUGCUGGGCGGGAAUUACUUAUUCGGACCCAUCCCGGGUCCGUUGCUGGGGCUCAAACCGGGUUCUGCAAAUGUGGGUUUGGCCGAUAACUGCUUGUACAGAUGCCCGAGAGUUUUCUUUUUUUGUCAAGGUGGUGACCAGAAAUCGCUUUCUGAGUGCAGAAGCUUCGGCCCAAUUAUCCCAUGAUCAAAACGUUAUUAUUUGUAACAUUAUGACAUAAAAAUUACUAAUUUUGAUUGCUUCCUCUGGUUCUGUUUUUGCUUCUUUUUUUUCUUUUUUGGGUUUUUUAUUUAUUUUUAUUGAAUUAUUUUUUGAAGUGGGAAAUCUUGUGUUAAAUACUGUAAUAAUGAGAAGGGCCGUCCUUGUCUGGUGGUACAUGAUCAAACUAAGGGGCAGCUGCUAGAUUUUUUUUAUCUUCCUCUGACACAGGAACGCUAGGCCCACGUGGUUUUCUAUGAUUCUGAUGGACUGAGCGCCCCUCUCUGAUGAACCAAUCUCCUCACUUCUCUAGAUUACUAUUUGGUAUUUUAUACCGUAUGUCUAAUAGAUUCAUACCAUAGAGUAUGUACGUAUAGGCUGAAUAUGCUUGUACUGUUUUACAGCUUCCAGUUUUAUACCACGUGACGAUGUUCUAGUAACACGUGAUGUGGCGGCAUCCAUGAUUUGAAAGAGUAGUCCGAUGGUUAAUUUACAUUAUCUUCAUACCAAACCUUCGCUACAUGCUUAAAUUAUUGAUUUGCAGACUUCAUUUAUCUUUUCCGUUAUGGAAACUACCAACCUCCUCCACAACACAAGCAUCAUGAUCAUGAUUCAUGGGGCAACAUUGAUCCAGCCACAAUACUUAUCAGCAGCCAGAACUAGCAAAACUAGCAUGGUGGCCCUACUGGUUUCAUUCCAGUGUUUGAAAAGAUUACGUUUCCAACUUACCAAAACUAGCAUUAGCCACAGUGGAGCUAAACCCCAAAUUACAAAUCCUAGUCACUUCCCACUAAGUAUGGAGAGCAUUGCUUAUCUUAGUUAUAAUUUUAUUUUUUUGGAAGAACUGUUUAUUGGAGGGGCGAUAAUAUACUAAACUCACACACACUACAUUAAUGGGUACUUUGCAUCUUAGUUAGAAGAAAAAUAAAUAAGCAUAGAAGAACUUUAGCGUGAGGCUUAAGUUCAAUAAAUUCAAACACAUGAGAGACAUGACAAAAAGUUUUGAUCUUUAAAUUACCUACCACCUCUCUCUUCACUCCUUCCCUGCUGCACAGCUAGCUAUAGAACACCACCUCCAUCACCCAAUUAAUUCUACAAGGUUAAGAAAAUGAAGAUUUCCAUUCACAGCAGAACCUUGCUGCUCCUCUUUCUCUCACAGCUCCUCUCAUUUCUUGCCUCCAAAGCAUGCCAUUUUGUAGACAAACAAGCCCUUCUCCAUUUCAAGCAUAACAUCAUUUCUGACCCUUCAAAGCUGCUGCAUUCAUGGUCAGUUUCCUCUGACUGCUGCUCUGCCUGGGAAGGUGUCGCGUGCAGCUCCUCCGGCAGAGUUGUCAAUGUCUCACGUUCGGGACUUGUUUCAGACAAUGACUUCAUCGUCGACACGUACAUGUCUGGUACUUUGUCCCCUUAUAUUGGAAACUUGUCCUCUCUUCAACUUCUUGACCUCAGUAAUCUCAAGGACUUGAAGGGUCCAAUACCACCAGAACUUGGGAAGCUAUCUCAACUCACUCAUCUCUUUCUUGAUUCAAACAAGCUCAUUGGCUCAAUACCAACAACAUUUGGUAAUCUUUUUCGAUUGGAGAAGCUCUUUCUUGGUGACAAUUAUAUAUCUGGUGCUGUUCCUUCCUCUGUUAUUGGAUCUUUGAGAUCACUUGUGGAACUAGGCCUAUCUGGAAAUACAUUGUCAGGGCCAAUUCCAACUUCAGUUGGGAAGUUGGUGUUGCUAGCAAAGCUUGAUCUCCAUGGGAACAAUAUCUCUGGUAGCAUUCCCACUAGCAUUGGCAAGCUAAAGAGCCUUAUAAAUCUUGAUUUGUCAGAAAAUCAGAUAAGUGGAAGACUUCCUCAAUCCAUUGGUGCACUUUCCCAAUUAGUCUUGCUCUAUCUCAAUCAUAAUCAAAUUACUGGAAGCAUUCCAUCUUCAAUUUCCGGGCUUAUUUCUCUGCGGUUUUGUCAGUUAUCAGAAAACAAGCUCAGAGGCACUUUACCAGCAUCACUAGGCCAGCUCCCAAAAAUCGAAAGGCUCAUUUUCGAGAACAACAAAUUUUCAGGAAAACUGCCAGAAACCAUUGGCCAUCUUGCAACUCUUACUGACAUUUUCUUCUCCAACAACCAUUUUACAGGCAAGAUUCCUUCAAGUUUUGGCAAUUUACAUAACCUAAAAACACUAGAUUUAUCGAGAAAUCGACUCUUGGGUCAAAUUCCUCCUCAGCUAGCAAAACUACAGAGGCUAGACACUUUGGAACUUUCAUUCAAUCCUUUGGGAUUGAUUAGUAUACCAACCUGGUUUGCAAGAUUGAAGCUUUUCAGGCUAUUGUUGGCAAAAACUGGUAUUCAAGGGCAGCUUCCAAGUUGGUUAUCUUCAUCAUCUAUAUCCAUACUUGACUUAUCAAGCAAUGCCUUGACAGGGAAGUUACCUCAUUGGAUAGGCAACAUGAGUAGCCUAUCAUUUCUGAACUUAUCAAACAAUGGUUUCCAUGCAUCAAUCCCAGUUGAAUUAAAAAACCUUUCACUUCUAAUGGAUCUUGAUCUACAUUCCAACAAGUUCUCUGGCCACAUGGAUUCAAUAUUCUCAAAAGAAUCCCAAAACCCUCUUGGCCAAUUUAAUUCCAUUGAUCUUUCGCACAACUUGUUCACUGGCCCCAUUGAUGAGGACAUUGGAGAAAGAUCUACAAUGACCUCUAUCAAAAGUCUAGUUUUAUCACACAACCCAUUGAGAGGAAGCAUACCAAAGUCACUUGGGAAGUUGAGUGAGCUGCAGGUCCUAAAGCUUGUGCAUAAUGGGCUUUCUGGAAGGAUACAAAUGGAGCUUGCAGAUGCCACAAAAUUGGCUACAAUUCUUCUUUCAAGCAAUAACUUGAGUGGCACUAUUCCAAAGGAGGUGCUGAAUUUAAAGGAUCUUCAAGAAUUUGAUGUGUCUGGAAACCAAUUGUCUGGGAAAAUUCCUCCUCACAAAGCAAAUUUCCCGGUGUCUGCUUUCGCAGAUAAUCCUGGCUUGUGUGGAGCUCCACUUCCUCCUUGUAAUCACUCUUAGCAUUUUCCCCAAAAUUUCCAUUUUUAAAGUUUAUCUUGAAAUUCUGAUUAAUGAUGAAAACUUAAAGAGUUCAGAUCUUUACUUUUUGUGUAGGCUUAAAUGUUUAUGCCAUUGCAUCACUAAAAUAUUGAAAGUUCUGAUGUGUUUGAGUCUUUGAGAGGCAACAGAUCAAUGUCCCCCCCCCUAAAGGCUAUUUGUCCAGCCCUAAGCUCCACAAUUCACGAUUUAAAGCAAAGACUAAUUAAAUCUUCAACCCCUUGAAGCACCAUGUGAGGCAGGUAUUUACUUGUAAUAUAAAAACAUGGUCCAUACCUACUACCCUAGCAAAUCUGUUGCAGAUAAAUAAUAAAAAAGCUUAAUGCUGGCCAGGCCAUUGGGGCAAUGGUAAGGGACUACCCUAGCAAAUCUGUUGCAGAUAAAUAACAAAUUGAGGUAAACUGGUCAUCCACAAGACUCAAACCAUGUCUUGUAUUUUUCUCCUUGUUGUGUUGUUUGUUUUGGUGUCUUGUGUUUGGAAUAUGCUAUGUCUAUGAUUCUGAGCUAGAAUACUACUUUACACCGGCUACUACUCCCAAUCAGUGAAUUAAGUAAUAACAUUAAGCUGAUAAGAGUACUUGAUGUUGCAUUGAUUUUGGGGAUAUAUCACCUUCACAAAGUGGGGUGAUGAAAGGAAUAAAUUUUGAGGUUGUUGAUAUUUCAUGAACCUCAAGUAUCGUAUUAACAAAUAAAUAUAGGUGUUAUAACAAAAUGAAUUGGUAAUACCAUGUUAUUGUGUCACAGUCAUAUCGAGAAAUUUCUGAUGAAGAAAAAGUUCCAUAAAUGAAAAACAAAGCAUUGCAUUUAUAUAGGUAUAGGAGGGCAGAGAGAGAGAUGUCAAUAUAAAAUUAAAAGACCAUUGAUAUCCUUUUGUAGCAUAAGCGUCACCAGAUAAACAUAUAUUAUGUUAUUUGGCUAGAAAGCUAACAAGCAAAGCACCAGUGGUCUAGUGGUAGAAUAGUACCCUGCCACGGUACAGACCCGGGUUCGAUUCCCGGCUGGUGCAGAUUCUUUUUUUGUUGUAUUUUACAACAACAUUUCAACUGGAUAUUAAAUUAAUAUGUUGCUGCACGCUUUAAUCUAAAGUGCUUUUAUUGACAGUUCAUAGAAACAAGUUCCCUUCAACUUGCAUUGAUGGCUUCACUGCACACUCUCCUCCCUCUUUGCUUCAUGCACCAUUUUCAUGCCAUAUAUAACCUGUUCAUUAUUGUCACUUCCUCCCCUUUCACCCUCUUUUUGGUUAUAAGAAGCAAAAGCUCUGACCAUUUCUCUCAAAGCAAAAGCACAAACACCUUUGGGACCAGCAAAACAUUUGCAAAAAAUACUCAUAUCGACUUCAUCCAACAUACCACAUAAUCAAAGUACUCGAACUUUUGGGGGAGGAGGACCCGAACUUGGGUGCAAGGAAGCGAGCGACUACCUUGUCCAAAUAUCCAAACCCUCUUUAUAAACAUUAAUGAUUGUUUCACAAAACUACUUAUCAAGAGUUUCCACUUUCAAAUCUCAAUGGUGGUGGGAUAUGGUUUUAAAUUAAGACGUAGUAAGUGGACGAUGCAGAAAAUAGAAAUAGUUACGAGUUGGAUAGAUUAUAAGACCGAAGGCCCGUGUGUUGGCAGUUUCCAAGGCAUAAAUUGCGUUGCAUUGUGCAGAAGAAGACUGCAAAAAUUGCAAAUUGCUUUUGGGCAACUGGUUUGGUUGGUGUGCCUGCAUUACAAAGGCCGCCAUGUCCUGCUUCUCAGCCCAUCACGUGACAGUGCCUCGUGCCCUUUCUUGCUGCUCAGUGUUCAUCAUAUCACCAGUCUUCAUCUGAUUUCGCCACGUGUCCUGUUGAGUUCAUAUCUCUGUCUCACGAGUGCCACAGAAAACUAUUCGUGCACUUUUGCUUAAGAAUAACCAAAUUUGGAAAUAUAUUACCCCAGAAGUAUGACAAAAAUGCAAAUAAUUAGGAUAUAUAUAUAUAUAUAUAUAUAAUAGAAAAAGUAAAAAAGGCUGAGGACAAAUAAAGCAACCCAAAAGGAGUUUUUGCUGUCAAAUUUGGGCCACACCACAUGUUUAUUUGUUUGAACAUGCAUAGCUUUAGAGACGUAUGUAUGUGAUAUAUUGAAGAACAUGCAUUCCAUCCUUUUGCCUCGCGAAAAGCCUAACUAGGCUUGUGUCUAUCUAUCUUCGAAAAAGGAGAAAAGGGAACUUGAUUUUGGGGUGCCAAAAUGAGAAGAAAUUCCUCUUUUUUUAGGCCAAUUAUACAUCGAUUGAUCAUGAUCAUCAAAUCUAAACAAAACCCAUAUAGACAAGUUAUCCAUAAUUGAGCACAACCAUGAUUGUGAUGCAAGGAAAGCGAGGCAUAGCCGCACAGAUAGAGACAUCAAUCGUCUACUUGCGUGCGGGUGAUUGUUGAGGCACAUAGACCCCCGCAAUGCAUCAACGACUAACAAUCACACCCGUAUGCUCUGAAACUAUGAAAUCAUACGAAAGUGAGUGUCUUUAUGUAUGUGGCCGUGUGUGUUUGUGAGAGAGACAGCAUGCUUGCUUAACUAGCCUUGUACUGAAAUGAAAGGCUAAUUUGUUGUGAGCGGUGAGCUGAUCAACCAACUUGACAAUUGAUCCUGCCUGGUGUUCUGAUUCAAAUAUAUCACUCAAUCAAAGGCUCCUUGGACAGUUGAUGUAUGAAGUCUAGCUCAUUAAACUACUUACACCUUCAAAAUUGAAAGGGGUUCAUAAUGAAAGAAACGGGACACAAAAGUCAAAAACCCCAAAUUAUUUUUUCCUUCUCUCUGUGUUCCAACUUCCAACCGUUGAACUCUGACCAUCUUUGAUCAAAGUCGAAUGUGUCAUUGAGUUUGUGACAGACAGUCACAGGUGGUUGUACUUCAGAUUAAGUGGGCUCUGUUAGCAUUUAAGCUCCAAAAAAUCAUACACAUUUGUUUGCAAGAUGGAUGUUUUCCAAAUUAUGCAGGGACAAGUGAAGGGGACUUUCCCUAUUUGAUUUGAAUGAUGGGCUCUAUCUAGCCCUUCAUGGAGACAAAUUUUUUUGAAUGAUGGGCCUUAUGAACUCUAUUUACCUUUUAUUGUUACAGUGCAGAAAACAUCAAAGACAAUUUCUGCAUUUGUAAUGAAAUCUGAGUUGUUUAUAUCUAUAAGUUAUAACAUUGUUCAAAACACUUUUUGUUGUCCAAUAAAUAUAUCCCAACCAUUUUGAAGUAACUUCCAAUCCUUUUUUUUUUCAAACCUCCUCUCAUUUUUCAUGUACCUAUCAAAUCUAUCACUUACAAUACCAAACCCUCUUCAAUCUCACCCCUGAUUUCUACUGUGUUUGCACUCACAUGAUGAAGUAAUUUCAGACAAAAAAAUUUACUUUUCACUGCAGCAUAUGCAUACCCUUGUCCUGAAAAGCAGAUUCAUGGCAGUCCACAUCAAGCAGCUCAAAAUGUUACCCAUGCUUGCUUGGGACCACGAAUCAAGGGAAUCUACUCAAUCAUGGAAGCAGAGAGAGGGAGAGAAAGAGAGAGAGAGUCCACCCUCCACAUCUCAAUGUGUUAUCACUUUAUCUAUGCCCUCCAUCUCAAACAUAUCUUCGUUCUCCAAUUCUGGUUCCAAAGAAGCAAAAAAAUAUAUGUAGCUUAAGUAUGUUUUGUUUACUUUAAAUUAAUAGAAUCAACGAGGAGGAGAUUCGAACUUGAGUGCAAGAUGACGGAUUCAGUAUCCUGGCCAACUUGGCUAACCAACGUGUCUGCAGUAACUUAAGUAUGUUGAUAUUGAAAACCCUACAUAAAUGGAAUAUAACCAAAUUUACACUUCAUACUUCAAAUUACUUGCCCCAGUUAAAUCCAAGGCCUAAUACCUCAUCCUAUACCAAGAGAAAGAGUGUGAAAGAGGUAAAUUACUAUUAAGAGUUAAAUCCAAUUCUUCCUCCUUAUUAAGAGUACGUGAGAGAUAUACUACCCAAUUGGGAAGAUUCAUGGUUAAUUUAAACGGAUUGAAGAAGCCAAUCAAUUAACCUAAGAAAAUGGUGCUUUGCAUGACCCUUUUCCAUUCACAAAUUAUCAAGCAUUAGGAUGUUUCUGCAUUUUGUCUUCUCCCAUAUAAGAAAGGUUGUGCGAAAGUUCUUCUACCAAUUUAAUUGUUUGAUAAAUGAUCAGAUACUUACAAAACUAAAAUUAUAAUCUGAUAACUCACUAACAACAAAGUUAAAUAAUUACAAUAGGAUAGAGUCAGAAAUAGUUGUCGAACUUAUAGUACUAUCGAACACAUGUUCAAGUGCGUCGAACUUAAAACCUACUCCAAGCCGGUUGGGGAGCUUCGUGAGGGAUUUCCGAUAGAUGGAGAUACCUUAUAUCCGUAAUGAAUGAAGGCACCGUAUUACCAACAAAAGACACUGGACAGACAUAUAUAAGACAUGAGUCACCUUCUUCAUUGGAAAUUUCACAAGAUUCCGUACUUUCUGUUUGUAUUUUCACUUCUCACUUUCCCGUACCAUCAUCACAAACAGCAGCACGCUCCAACUCCAAGGGCAUUUCCGUCCAAUCUUUAAAAAAUAUAUAUAUAUAUAUAUCAUUUGGGGCACCCCGUUUUAUCCUGGUUGGGCUCCAUAUGCCGAGGAGGGCCAAUCCGCAUUCAAUUUUCAAGCCCACUCUUUUAUUUAUUUUUUUUCCCAAAAAAAUAAAAAUAAAAAGAUUUCGUCGUCAUUCCUUUCCAAGACAGAACCAUAUCCAUAAUUUUGAUUUUCAAAUUUCAAAUUUUAAAAACUUAAAAUAUAAGAAUUCUAAUAAUUGAAAGAAAGAAAAAAUAACGUUUGAUUUAUUGGGCAACGUCACCUGUCCAAUAGGAACCCACCAUGUGAGCAAACGACUCUGGGCGGCUGAAAACGACAGGGGGAAGUCUACGAAGCCGGCUCUUUAUUCAUGUUGUUGUUUUACCAUCCCCAUCUAGUAAACCGUCAACUACUGGAAUCUCAAAAUACGUAUUUUGACCGGCUCUCUCUCUCCGUUUUUGUUUUUCCGUUUUUGUGUUUCCAUUGACGAUUUUUAUUCCGCUGGAAGUUACAAAACCACCCCUACCGCAGCUGGGCUGCGUCACUGAACCACUGGCGUUCAUUGAUAAUUUAAAAGAGGGUUUGGAACACGUGACAGUGAGGAGAAAAAUUUGUAUAUUACAAGAAUAACAUUCUUUUGUUAUUUUAAUCAAUUAUAUUUCGUUAUAAUGAUAAAAAAUUUAUAUAACGAAGUAUAAUUGGAUAGAGAUAAUAAAAUAGUAUUAUCACCUCUGACAUUCAAGUUCUUUUCAACAAUUAGAGUAGGUUUGGCAUUAACUGCAAAAUUGCCACUUUUUUUUUCUUUCUUUUUUUCCCAAAAUGCAAAAUUGCCACUUUAAUAAUAAUAGGCUUAUUAUCACAAAACGUCCUUAAGAUUUACAAAACUAUUAGAUUGCAUCUUUAAUGUUUUUUUUAUGUCAUUCGUGGUCCUCGAGGUUAGUAUGUGUGAUUACAAAUGGUCCAUGCGUCAAAAACUCCGUUAGUUUGCUGACGUGGCAUAUACAUAUAUCACAAAACAUCCCUAAGGUUCAUGCCUAUCACAAAUGGUCCCUACGGAAUUUUUUAACUUUUUCACUUAAAAUUCAUAAAAUUUUGGUUAUCUUUUUAAAAAUGUAUGAAUUUUAAAUGAUUUAAAAAUAUAAAUUAUAUUUUAAAUACAUGUGACACUAUAUUAUUGUAGAUGUGGUCUCAUAUAUAUGCCACAUCAACAAACAAAUGGAGUUUUUAAAAAAUAAUUUAAAAUUCAUAAAAUUUUAAAAUGAAAAAAACUAAGGGUUUAGGGUUCAUAAAUGGUCCUCAAGAUUAAAAUCCUUCUAUAAAUGGUUUUCAUUUAUAAAUAAUUUCAAAAAGAAAACAAAAUUUUUAUGAAUUUUAAAUGAAAAAUUUUUGUAGAGACCAUUGUGAAAGGUGUGUAAACCUCAGAGAUGUUUUGUGAUAUAUAUGUCACAUCAGCAAACUAAGGAAGUUUUUGACAGAACCUAACGGCAUGGACCAUUUGUGAUCACACAUACUAACCUUGAGGACCAUGAGUGACCCAAAAAAAAAAAAAUUAAGGAUGCAAUAUGAUAAUUUCGUAAACCUUAGGGACGUUUUAUGAUAUUAAGCCAUAAUAAUAAUAAUAAUUUUAGAUCGGAAUUUGAUGGCCAUAUCAAUUUAUCAAAUUUGUUUUUAUAAAUUAUAAAGUUUGAUAGUGUAGGGGUUUAGAGGGUCGCGUGGUGUCGUGCACCAAUAUUAUGUUAUAGCUUAUGUUAUUUUUAUUUUUAACAACAACCCUAAUAACAUUACGCGAUAGUGUCACAAUCCACAUCCAAGAACGGAUUUAGGCAUGGGCUAGAGCCCACUCUAGCCUAGUGCUAAAUUUGGAGAUGAAAAAAAUUAUGUUAAUUUUAUAAGUCAAACCCAAGUUAAUUAAAAAUAGUCCACCCCUCUUUGUUGAUAUUAGCCUUUCACAACCAUGAGAUUUCAUCUCUAGAGGCACCCACACAUAUCAAACAUCAUGUUUUUCUAUUACCCAUCUAUAUAAGCUAUAACUUUAUAUUUGAACUUGAGAGCUUAGAAGUAGUAGGUCUCCUCCUCUUUAAAAUUUUAUCAACCUAUAUCCAAUGGGUUCUUUAAUAUUAGUAAGUUUCUCUCUUACUUUUUGUUUAAUUUACAAUUUGAAAUGUUAUUGUUAUCUUUUUAUGAUUUAGAGUUCGGGUGUUAAAUUUUGGGGAUUUUUUUCUUAUGCAAUUUGCUAGGAUUUUAUUGAUGACUCGUUAUUUUUCUGAUUUAAUCUAUUCAUUACUUGAUAUAUGCUUUUAUAUAGUCUAAUUGUCUCUUGGUUUUGUUGAAUGCUUGUAGCUUAUGAUUGUGCAAUUGUAGAUCUAUAUGACUGCAAUCCCCACGUCUAUAUGUAUUCCCAUAAAAUUUAAAUAUUGUUAAUUGAAAAAUAGUUACUACCACUCAUUUUCUUUGCGUAUAAAAGAAAAACUAUAGCCUAUAGUCAAUUAACCAUGUAAACCUGCUUUUAAAAAGUAAAAAAAAAAGCAAUAUAAUGGAUCUCCCAUUAAAACAUAUUAGUCCACUCCUAUAAAAAUUUGGGAGACUUUGGAAAAGCCCAAAGGAGAGAGAAAAAUUUUAAAAGAAUCCGAAAUGGACAAAAUUGCCCUUAUUUAUUUUUUGAUUUCCUAAGGAAUCUUUUACAUUUGCAUGUCUUUGGUUUGAAAGUUGAGAGGUUUUUCUGUCUUUUUUGAAAAAGCUUUGACUUUUUCCAAAAGUAAAAGUUUUUUUAUGGGUAAAACCUAAAUUUACUUAAAAAUUUCCUGGUCCACCCUUGCCCAACCUUGCCCACACGAAUGUAUUUUUCGUAAUUUGAACUCACACCUAUGAGGGUUUGAUCAGUGGCCAGCACACAAGAAGACCUAUGUAUAUGGAAAUAAAAAUAAAAAUAAAAAUGAAGGGGAAUCAUUUGAGUUGGGAGAGGUUGGAGACAAAAGCUGGACCCAUGUCAUUGACUCGUUGGUUCGUAUCAUCACUUUUCUGUGCCUUUCGUUGCUUCUAAGCCAUGUAUGUCUGUCGUUGAACUUUGAUCAUUAUGGACAUUGCAGAUUGGAGAUUGGUUUUCCAGUCCAGGGGUACCAUAUAAAUUUGGUCGUACCAAUUUCUGGGCUGGCUGUUCAUGAAUGAAUUGAUUAAAUUUUAUGGAUCAAUUCAAUUUGGGUUAUCAGACCAAAAUAAUAAAAUAAAAUAAUUUAAUUUGCUUUGCCUCAGUUUCUUGAGAUACACUGAUUCUCUUCUUUGUUUUAUAUGGAAAAUUAAUUAAGGUGAUGUAUCUACGUGGAUAAAAGUGGGAUACAGUACUAAUUAGUGACCUGUCAAAUAUGCUUGAACUCAUUGUAUUGCGUUUACGGGCCAAUAGUUUUACGACACAUCACGAAACAUUAACAUAUUGGAUAUAACCUUAAUUAAUUGCCCGCGUUAAUCACAACUUGAAGAAAAUUCGUUAAUAUGUUGUCAUGACCACACAAGUUGUAGAAAAUUAUUAGCUGUACUAAUUAUUUUGGAAAUUUCUAGUACAAGUGUCAAAUGGUAGCUGCGUUUGUGCCAUGAUUUAUGAAUUCAUAUCGUAUUCAUAUUAAUUGCCGCCAUUUACUCAAAAUUCUCAAGAAUUUUGGAAGGAAAAUAGAGAAAACCCUGUUAAUUUCUACUACUCUACAGUUUUUGUUUUUUGUUUUUUUCUUUUAAGCAAAUGCAGUUUAGAAUUCCUUCUCUAAUAGAGGAAAUGUCAGUCCCGCUUACCUAAGGAGUAUAAGUGAGGGUUAAGACUAUUAAUUAUGUGCGUCGUUGGAUUAAUUCAAGGACUUUUACAUGAAAGGAGCUAAGCAAUGUUCAACACAAAAGAAUUGCGUUCCCUUAUUUUUCUGAAACAAUGAACUAUAUUUAGAUGGUACGUUGUUGAUGCAAGCGAUUAAUGACUAUUAAUUAAAACGGGAUAUGACGGUUAUCAGGUAAGCGACAAAAUCUAAGCCAAAUAGAUAUAUUCCAGUUCAAUUUAGUUUUUUUGAUAAGCACUUAAAAAAAGAAAAAAAAGGAACAAAUAAGCAAUGCGCCAAUUUCGGUUGAGUUCGUAAUAAAGUGCGAAAACAAUUAGCGGGGAAACAAAAGCUUCAAGUGGUGAAGGACCAAAACGAGCGGCGAUCAACGCGGUAGGCUGAUGUUGUAAAUUAGUCAAAAGAAAUGGGCCAAUUCCUUUCCUUCUCAAAGAAAAGUAAAAAGAAAGGAAAAAUACACAAAGGUGCCGGUUUCCUAGGUAUUCACGACGCAGAGGUUUGUGUGGGACGAACCGCACCCUAUAAUUCUUAUCCCACUCCCCCUCCCAAAAAUCCAAAUUACAAAUUACAAAAUUAAAAGAAAAAAGAAAAAAGAAAAAAAGAAAAAAGAAAAAAGAAAAUGGAAGUUAUGUAAAGAUGGGAGCUGUCUGAGGAUAUGGUCCUCCCUGGCCUACCCAUAUAUGCACAAAACCCAGAAAGGGAAGAAAAAUCCAGUCAAAAGGGCAGUCCUCGUAAUUUCAGACAGAAAAAAACAAUAUUUUCCAUAUUUAUUUAUUUUUACAAAAACAAAUAUAUUUAUUUAUGAACAGUACGGUUUAUUUAGUACAGACAGACUGCAAACGUAUCCAAAGUGUAAAUACAGAGAACAGUAUAGGUGGAUAUAUAAAGUGGAUGGGUGGGGAGAUAAGAAAAAAAAAGGUAAAUUAAAGGAGAGAGAAGAGAGAGAGAAAGAAACGGGCACUUUUAGUAUAGGCCACGGACGCUUUCAGCCCUAAUUCAAUGCUUUACCAAACUCACCACUCCUUUUUAUUCCAAUUUCAUCCCUUUACUUGUUCAAUCCCUUCUUCUUCUUCAACCACCUCAACCUCAAACUCAACCUCAACCUCUCUCCUCUCCUCUCUCUCUCCUCAUCCUCCUCUGCCCUUAACCUGUCCUCCACCGCUACCUCCACAACAGGUAUACAUGAUAAAAUGUCAUUUUUGUCUUCAAAUUAAUCAAAUAAAAAGGCUUGGGUUUCCUCCUGUUGUUUUCUGUAACCGCUGUGUGUUUAGUGCAAGAAAGAAUGUUGCUUUAUUUUGGUUUUGGGUUUUUCUGGUUUUGUUGUCUUAGGUUGAAACUGAAAUGGAAUGCGUGGAAGCGGCCCUGAAGACCAGUAUUAGGAAGGAGAUGGCUGUCAAGGCGAGCUCACAAGCGGUUUUUGAUGACUUGUUGUGGGGCGGCGUCAAUGGACAAAACGGUGUCGCUUGUGACGAUUUCUCAGUAGAUGACCUCCUUGACUUCUCGAACGAAGAUGGGUUUGUGGAAACAGAGGCUGAGGAAGACGAUAAAGAUAAAGUCAAGGGCUUUGCCUCUGUUCCGCCUCAGAAACAACCCCAGGACCCUGAGAACUCGGAUUUGUCUGAAAAAAACGAACUUGGGCCGGAACCCACCAGCGAACUCAGCGUUCCGGUACUUUCUCUUCCCAAUUUCCAUCUUUAAAAAUGGUGAUUUUGACCUUUUUUGAGGCCUUGGGUUGUGGUUUUUGACCAAAAGCUACCAUUUUUACAGGCGGACGACUUGGAAAACCUCGAGUGGUUGUCUCAUUUUGUUGAGGAUUCUUUCACGGAAUUCACUACGUCUCUGCCGGCAGGGUUCAUCCCCGAGAAGCCCAAGACCGAGAAACGUCCCGACCCGGCAGCGCCUUUACCCGAAAAACCCUGUUUCAAGACUCCGGUUCCGGCCAAGGCCAGAAGCAAGCGAACACGAACCGGCGGCCGGGUCUGGUCACUGGGGUCACCUUCGUUGACGGAGACAUCCUCGAGUUCUAGUUCCUCGUCUUCUUCUUCGUCUCCGUCUAGCCCCUGGCUCAUUUACCCCACCACCCAGAACCGGGAACCGGCCGAAGCGGGCGGCGAACCGGUCGGGUCAGUGGAGAAGCCUCCGAAGAAGCCCAAGAGAAGACUGGUGGAUGGAAGCUCGAGCCAGCCGCCUCGUCGGUGCAGCCAUUGUGGGGUGCAGAAGACCCCGCAGUGGAGAACCGGGCCCAAUGGAGCCAAGACCCUCUGUAACGCCUGUGGGGUCCGUUACAAGUCGGGUCGGCUCUUACCGGAAUAUCGACCCGCAUGCAGCCCGACUUUCUCGAGCGAGUUGCACUCGAACCACCACCGUAAAGUUCUAGAGAUGCGGAAGAAGAAGGAUGUCACCGGCGUGCCCGAACCCGGUUUGACCAGACCUCCGGUGGUGCCCAGUUUUGGUUAGGCGGAAAGAAAAAGGAUUAAAACUUUUAGUUAGCAAGUAGGGAAGAGAGGACAAAGUGAACCGGGGUUAGAUUAGAUUGAACCCGGUUCGAACAGGCCGAGUUAGUGUACAUUUUUUCUUUCGUUUUUCCUUUUGCAUGGGUUGGUGCGGUAGGUUUGUAGGCAUGUAACUGAUUAGGCAGGACUUUACUAGUUUACUUAAUAUGUACUUAAUUUUUAAAUUAUAUUCUUGGUUUGUUUUUAAUUUAAUUCUCCUAAUUAGAGUGUUUUUUUUGGGUUUUAAUUAUUUAAUUAAUUGCCCCCUAAUUUUUUGGUUCGGUUUUUAGAGGGAAAAUGAGGAGAUUUGGUGGUCUGUUGAAACUGACCCUUUGAGUGAAUUUGAAACCGUUCAAAACCUUUUUAAUUUGGUGGCCGUUGGAAAGCAAAAAUGUUAUGACCGAGCGCGCCACGAGAGAGGCCAAGGCUUUUCUCUAAACGACAUAAUUUCUCGUGGCGUAAACUGCACGUUCUGUGCUGAAUCCUGACCGUUGGAUUUUAAAAGAGAUGCUUCGAUGCCUGCAAAUCCUGAUGUGAUGAGGGUUGUUUUGUUUUUUUUUUUUGCUUUCUUCGGUUUUGGUGCUGGGUUUGGAGCCAUUCACAUUCACAUUCACAGUGGAUAUUGAUAUUUGUCCCAGGUUUAAAAGCUUGCAUUGGCCAUGGAAGGCUUUAAAGGCAAAAAAAAAUAUCAGGUCAGGCGGGUUAUUAAAAGGUCAGUCGAUAAGCCGAAGCCAUUUACUAAGUCACACAGUCCAUUUCAGAAUUUAAAAGAGGAUGCCGCGGGCACACAUAUAAGUGGUGACAGCCAUAAUUACCACCAAGCUAUGACUCAUCAUUCCAUGUUGGAAUUUUUGCUUACAAAGUAUGUUCAAAAAGUUCACUAAUCCUUUCUUGAUUCCGAAACGGAAACUCCUUUAAAAUUCAUUACAACAAUUUCGGUUUCAUAAGUCUCUUUAUGCUAAACGUAGUAAUGAUGUGUAAGCGACUUUCAACCAUUGAUGUAAGUGAAUUCAACAACUGAUAGAGGCGAAUGUCGUGAAUAUCAUGCUUCAGCUAAAGCAAAAUAACUACCAAUUGGCUCAUAAAUUUUACCAACACUUAAGAGACCUAUGAUUCUAACCUAAUACAAACACCUCUUCUUCCUUUUUGUGUUUUUGGUGUUUGUGUGUGUGUGUGUGUGUGAGAGAGAGAGAGAGAGAGAGAGAGAGGAAAGAGAUGCAUUAGGUUUGACAUAUAUUAUAUGUUGAGUUGAGUGGGGUAAAACUGCAGAGAAUUUUUCAAAUAGACCUCGAAAUUGCGUUGUUGCUGGCGGGAAUAUGAUGCCAUGUGAAUUCAAUUCAUAUAGAAACGCUAAGUUACAAUGCGCAUGCCAUUUGUCGUUACCUCCCUAAUAUUAUAUCAACAUUUAUGCACAAAACUUGUACAUUUGUCUUCAGUCAAAAUACAAGUCCCUUCCAUUCUAUUAUUCUUUGUCUUUGUAAACCUUGCUGCUUGCCGAAUUAGACAGCAAGAGCGAACUAAGAUUGGACUAAUUGUUGUAUAUUCAAUAGCACAAUGGGCAACUUAAUUUUAUUUUAAAUAAAUAAAUAUAUAUAUAUAUUAAAACCCAAUCUCAUUAUUUGAAUAAUAAAAGAUUCCAAGGCUCCAAGUAGAAAAAAACACAUUCGUGUACUCAAACAUAGACAUGACUAUCAAGAGUCAAAUAUAAAGUAUUUUCUUGUUCUCGCAUCUUUACAAGAAAACACUAUAUAUUUGGAUGGAAAUUUAACUUCCUUUAUGGUAUCAGAUGGAGUUCGUUACAUGUUACUCAAUAUGUGUUGUCCACGUGUUAGGUUUGAAAAUUCAUUACACAUACGGGACAUGUGACAAUGUGAAAGUGAAAAUGUCCUACCCACAUUGGAAAGUUAGAAAACUUUACAAGGGCUUAUAAGGUGUUGGAUUACUCCCCCAUCGUCAAUUGAUUUUUUUAUUUAAUAUUUAAAAAAUAAAAUAAUUUAUAAAUAUUGAUUUUUGAAGGGAAGAAGCUAAAUAAGUAGUGCCAAGAAUUUUAGCUUCUUUCAUUGGUUGUAGCCAUAAUAAUGAAAGAGCAUUUCAAAAUCAGGCCCCCCUAGGGGCCUCCUUCCUACCAAAACCAAAGCUAACAGAAAACCUAAACACAUAAGAAAUUACCAGGUGUGGGCAAAAUGCCAUGGCAAUUGGGUGCCCUACCAUAAUUGUUGAGUGGCAAUUACGUGAUGGCCAUCUCCCACCAGUUCCAACCACUCUCUCCAACGUCCAUAAUAGUGCAACAUUAACAAGGGAUGCCUUUGUCCACUUGUGUGGGUCUUGCAUGCCUUUGAUUUUGCUCAGGUAUUUGACUUUCUCAGCUUUCCCUUCCCUUCCACAAAACCUUUAUCAUAUCUCCCAAGUAAAAAAAAAAAAGAAAAAUACGGCCAUAACCCAAAAGAAAAGAAGUAUACAUAAAAUAUGGGUUAGGUCAGUUGAAUAAAAUCAUUGUACUCAAGUUGAAUUCAUUUUUAUGUAUAUUAGAGUAGUUUAAAAUAUCGCUUUGUCAAGCAGAAAAGAAGUGUGCAUUAAUCAAAUACAAAUGGACUUUAUAUAAUCAAAUUAUGUGUGUUGAGAAAAGUGUGGCACAAGUCCAACACAUAGAGUGAUAGAAUCAACAGGGUUUUGAAUCGAGUUGAUGCCUUUGAUAACAGAAAAUGUGUCGCAUUCAGAAAAUAGAAAGAAAUUUCUGGCAUUGUUUUUUCUCCCCCAGGCCAUCAACAACAAUGAUGAUGUUGAUGAUGAUGGCGAUGCAGAUGCGUGGUUAAAUUAGGUUAAUUAAGAUAUUUAUUUCUGCAUAAACAUUAGGUGGUCAACAUUUUGGGCCGGCCUUUCACUUAAAAGAGUAGUGAUAUUGUGUGGGAUGGAUUGCCUCGAUCGUGCCCUCCAUUUGGAAAAUCCAAAGGCAAAAAAGAUCUCUCUCUCUCUCAACACCCACAUGCUAGUGAGUAGUGAUUGUACCCACCUCACCCAACCUUUUUUGACCAUAAUGUUUGUUCAAGAAUCAACAGCCUUUUGACCCCUUGCCUUGUAAAAUCCUUGUACUUAUACCCGUUUUCAAAUGGGAGGGUUUUAACUUAUCAGCCCCAUCCAAUAAUGUGCGACUCCUGUUCACUCCAAUAAUCCCUCUGUGUUUACUCUUUUGCUCUUAGACUUAAUUACCUCAACGAAUAAUUUGAUUGCGAAAUGCAAGUUGAUUUCAUUUUGUGUGCUGUGAUGUCUAUCUAAUCUAGCAAAGUGGUACACCUUUUUGCUAGCACUGCAGAUAACUAGAUACGGGUUAUUUCUAUAGAUGAAUUUUGCUAUAUUGAUCGCCCAAGUGUAUGAGGACGAAUUUUAGUUGAAAAUUCUUCAUGCACAUGUGAGUGACUGACACAAUACACUUUACAAAUUGAGCCGGCAUAACUAUUUUGUUUGGAGUAGAAGAGAAGUAAAGAUUUAGUCACUGGAAUUUGCUGUAGGGACCACUAAGAUUGCUGCAUCAAACGGCUCCCACACAUCAUUGAAUCCUAUCAUAUGUUUAAAAAUUGUUGUAGUUGAUUUUGUAAAGUCAAUAUGUAGGUCCAUUGAAUUUAGUUAUUAUUUGAUGAGAAAAUAUCAUCGGAAUUGUCAAGUCAUACUUGUUUAUUGAGUAUUAGAAGUCUAAAUUCUGUUGAGUUGAUCGUUCAUCUAGGAUUAUUAUUAUAAGGCCAGCAUGUGUUUAUUAUAACUUGAAUCUGGCAAUCUGCAUAUGCAUUUGCUCUCCAACACAACUCCCGAGCUCUAGGCUUUAAUGUGACAAGAAGAAAAAAGCACGUUCGGCCUCGUUUCAGUAUUUGCUAGUAGGCAAUGUUUGCUUGUCAAAUUCGAUGGUCAAUGUGAAUAUUUAUCUGAUUCUUAUUUGUAGACCUGACAAAAUGAUAUGCAUGAUACGAAGAGGCAUGAAAAAUUAAGUAUUCGGGCUAAACACGACACAACACGUAAAAUUUGUGAAUGAGUCUGAAUUUAUAUAUUUGGACAUGAUAAAUUAAUGUGUCUGGUUUGAAUUGAAUAUAAUCUCACACAACACGAACACGACAAAACAUGACACUGCUAAAUUUACUUAUUUAUACAUACAAUGCUAAUAAAUCGUUAGACAACAGAAUAGAAAAACAUUAUCUAUAUUGGUGCAAGGCUUAUAGUUUCACUUGCAGCCCAUUGUUUGUGAUUCUAACCCAUUUCAGAUUUCCUCAUAAGUCUCACAAUUCAAUCAUAUUAGCAGUUUAAAAUGCCAAAUGGCCCAUGAUGAAAGAUGUAAGAUUUGCUAAAAGGCAGCCUCUCCAGCCCUAGUUAACUCCCCUAAAGGCCUGUCAAUGCAAUCUUUACAUUUCUACAUUUCCUCUAUUUUAGGGAGGUUAAAAUGAGGGGAUUUUAUGAGGGGUAAUGAAUGAGGUUCUUAAUAACCGUUCGAUUCAAUGCAUAGUUAUUAUUGGACUGUUGGAUUGAAAUCCUUCAUUAUAACCCCUCAACAUAACCACUCGUUACAGAAGCUCCCUGAAAAGUUUGGGUGCAAUUGUGCAAAGAAAUAACUGUAACAUAAAAGGUCAAGCAUUAGCUGCUCUACUAAAAGUGAAAAAGAGCAAAUUAAAGCAAACAUGAGAAGGAAUCAUAUCAUAUGAGAUGGAGGCACAUAAAAUGACAAGCUUUUUAUUCGUAGUUUCUUCUCUCGCAUCGCAUAGGUAGGUGUUUGGCAAAUCACCAAUAACUCUUCAACACAACAUACACACCACUCUCUCAAAGUUUCCUACUACUACUAGCUAGGGUAUCUUUUAUGGCAUUUUCAUUACAUUGUCAGUGUAAAGAAAUAUUGAUCUUAAAAGAGGCAAAAGUUUGCUCAGAAAGUAAAAGCAAUACAAUCCAAAUAAAUGUGGAAACUGGUCCAAUUUCUUGCACCCUUGUACAAGGUUUGUUUGUUCAUGCAGUGUGCAUGGUCAACACCAAACCUUGCAUUAGCUCUAAGGACUGCCUUUCCUCUCCUCCAAUUGCUUUUGGAUGGCCACCACAUCCCCAAGCCCAACAACNNNNNNNNNNNNNNNNNNNNNNNNNNNNNNNNNNNNNNNNNNNNNNNNNNNNNNNNNNNNNNNNNNNNNNNNNNNNNNNNNNNNNNNNNNNNNNNNNNNNUUUUUCUUUUGUGGCCUCUACCUUUUCCUUUACCUCUUCCAUCUCCACUAGCUCCACCAUUCCCACCACCUGCUCCGCCACCACUUCCCCCACCUUGACCACCAUUUCCACCUCCACCUCCACCUCCUCCACCACCACCUCCUCCUCCAUUUUGAUUGUUAUUGCUUUUGACUAAAACUUCAUCAGAUGAAGCAGUCAGCUUGGGGAUAACAGCAGCAGUGGCAUUAUUAAACCCAGCAUUAAUGCCACCAUCUAUUGCAUCAGAAUCUUCGAGCCCAUCAACCAAACACAUGCUCAAAAAAACAGCAAGACCUAAACAAACUCCAAACACGCUGCCCUUAAUCUCCAUCUUCUGCCUCAUGAACUUGAGAUCAAUGCAAAAACCCAAGUCAUCCCCAACCCUCUUUAUACUCUUUGAAUAGAAUAUAUUGUACUUCCAAUUGGCAAUGCAGCUCCCACUAUAACUAACUUCCAAUAAGUAGCAAACCCUAACCUAACCCCUCCCAAAGGCUGCAAAAGAGAUAGUACAUACAUAGAGUAGUAGUGAGAUAUCAUAUUUGAUGACUUGUUGCGCAAUUUGCAAUUUGUCCCCACUUUUUAUUAUUUGCGUGACCUCUGCACGCUUUUCCUUUUUUAUAAAAGCCAAAGUCUCUUAUUUCCAUCACUCUGGUUAACUCUAUAUAAGAUACCCAUCUUUGUUUUGUUUGUAUCCCAAGCCCCCCACCACUUUCGUUGUAUAUUAGCAUACUGAAAAGCUUCCAGUUGGUCCUCUGUAAGCAACUUGUUUAUCUGUCAGGCACGUUCGAAUCCCUGUCCUUCAGAUUAAUUAAUACAAAUUUAAUUUUUUAUUAUUGAAAUGGGUGAUAACAUGCUAAACUUACAUACACUACACGGUAACACACGGAUGUUAGGACCCGAACACUAAUGGAUCCUUUGCAAUACAAAUUCGAUUAGUGUAUACUUUAUCGUGCUAAUUAAACUUGCUUGAUUCAUUAAGAGGGUAACAAGUCAAAAUAAACAGAAUUUAGGUUUUCUUCUUUGAGCAAAAGCAAUGUGGACUUUAAAGGACUAAGUUGUUUCAGCUGUGCUUCCUUCCACAUAAACUAAAUAAUUCACAAGUGGGUGGACGAGAGUUUGAGGUUCCUUUGGCUUCACGAUGGAAUGAGAAUACAAGUGGUGGCCACGUGAAAAAAUUGGAAGGACAAGGAGAGAAGAGGGGAGGGUGGUGGUGCUGUCUAGUAUAUAUAUGUUUAUAAUGGCUCCAGGUCUGUGGUGGAGAUGUUGAUUAGUGCAAUCCACAUAAGGUCCCCCAAUAGUUGUGGGUGCAUGCCAUUAUUUCUCCAUGUGAUGAAGUUGCCAUUUCUUUAAGCUAUGCCUUCUUUUUCUUUUGGUCUCGAACUUUUUGUCUAUGCAUUCGGACUAGUCACAAGAAGAAAGUUGAGAGUUGGGUUUGGUCCAUGGAUGUGGCAGAUUACAAAACGAUCCAAGUUUGAUGGUGGACUGAAUUUGAAUUCGAACAAUUAUUGUUCGGUAGAAAGUUUCAGGGCCUGGUCCAAUGUUCUGGUGGCCCAAAGCUAUUUAAGUAGUUUUGUGUUCAGCAUGAGACAGCCCAAUACCCCUCAUGGUAAAACUAGUAACAUUUUUUCACUUAAAAAACAAAAGCAUUUGGUAGGUUAUUUUCAAAUAAAGUUUUGAAGAUGUGAGUUUAAUAUAAUCCUUAAGAAAAGUUAGAAUGGAGUAUCAAUAGUGCAGUUUCCCUAUAUACGUUUCAAACUUCAGACCUAGGAGAUGAGAGACUUAGAAUUCUGCCCUAAAUCCGAGACUUAAGUCCUAACUAGACAUCAAGCUUCAAACAUUACCAUUCGAACCUCAAAUUAUAGGCCUAAAACUGCACAUCAACCUUGGGUUUGAUUCCUAACCCUAAGUAUCGAAACCUUAAUCUCGAGUUCGAGCUUGAUUUCUGGCCUCUGAACUUUGGAUGCUGAAAAACAAAAACAAAAGUAAAGGAAGUGUUACAUUUGUCCUCACAUCACUUCUCAAAGAGAUAAAGACUCCAAAAUUGAACAAUUCUCACCAGUUCAAUUGGUGAUGUUAGAUUUUGUCCUCACUUUCCACCCCCUUCCCUAGUUUUCUUCCCAAACUAGCGAUGUUUACAUAUGACAUGUAUGCUUUCUUUUUUUUUUGGACAAAGAAGCUUUCAUUAAAAAACAGAAUAGGCAUACAAAAGGAUACCAUCCUGAACAGCUAAAAGAAACUCAGGGAAAAAAACUAAACUCACAGUCUAGUAACCAGUUUUCCCCCACUAAGACAAUGCUUAUGUUCUCGUUUGUUUCACUUUUGUUUAGCCAUUUACGGAACCCAUCAUCUUAUUACUUGACCUAUCAGAUUGUCAUAAAGUGUUAAUCUGGUUUCACAUCUAGAGGAAAGAAAACUCACCCAAGUAAACAAUCUGACCAAAUCAAAAGCAUUCUAGUUUUAUAUUAAGAUUUUGUUGCAAACUUCCACAUCAACUCCUCAAUUUUCUUUCUGAAACUAAUAAAAGAAGUGAACAUCAUCCUCCCCUUUGUGUUUUUUUAUUGCGAUAAAUCUCAGUUAGUGGAACUUGGGUGAUCCUGCUGAGACCGUUUCAAAUUUCCAUUGGAGACGCAAAACCAAUUAAGAACAAAAGAAAAAAACCCACAGAAGGGUUCUUGACCUCUCUGUUUCAACAAUCACCAUCACUUAAUCUGUUGAUUAAUUAAUUAAACAUGUUUUGUUCGGUAAUCAGAUGGAUUUAGCAUAGAAAUUUCCAUAUAGGUAUUGUUGCAGGACCGCGGGGGUCAGGUCCACUCCAAGCUUUGUGUUCUGGAAUUAAUCUGAAUUGUGCAAACACCUAACUCUGCAAAAUGCCAAACCACCCAACAAACAAACAAUUCAUGGUCGUCAAAACACCGCACUUACUCUCAUAUGAACACGUCAAACACGAGAUCAUGGACUUCAUAUGUCAAAAAAAACGACCAUUUAUUUG
rnacentral:lncRNA from 1 species